rnacentral:lncRNA from 1 species
UUCUUACUUCCUUUUUAUUCUCUAUUCUCAUGGCUAUGCUUCAAUCAUCCGUCUCCUCAUCCUCUUCCUUCUCCUAUGGAUUCACCUAUGACGCGUUCCUUAGCUUUAGAGGUGGUGACACUCGUUAUGGUUUUACUGGAAAUCUCAAUAGAGCUCUUUGUGACAAGGGAAUCCGAACCUUCAUGGAUGACAGAGAGCUUCAAGGAGGUGAAGAAAUAACAUCAUCACUUUUCAAGGCCAUUGAAGAGUCUAGGAUUUUCAUUCCCGUCUUGUCUAUCAAUUAUGCUUCUUCUUCAUUUUGCUUGGACGAACUUGUCCACAUCAUUCACUGCUUCAAGGAAAGCGGGCGUCUAGUUUUGCCAAUUUUCUAUGAUGUGGAACCUUCUCACGUGCGACAUCACAAGGGCAGUUAUGGUAAAGCACUGGAUGAUCAUAUAGAGAGGUUCCAAAAUAACAAGCAUAGCAUGGAUAGGUUGCAGAAAUGGAAGAUUGCUCUUACUCAAACUGCUAACUUCUCUGGCCACCAAAUCAAUCCUAGGUACCGUAGUGCACUCAUGUUUUACAUUCAAACAUAGGUGAUAUUUCUUGAAUGUUCUAUUUUCGAACUGUUUUAUCUUAUAGUUGAAAUAGGUAAUAUUAAUUUUAUUCUUAACAAGUGUAAGGUACUUGUAUGUCAAAUCAAUAUUUGAAUUGUAUUAUACAACUAUUAUUAAAAAUUGAUGUGGUUGAGCAUUUAUGAUGUAUUUUGCUCAAACUUAUUUGAUUGGGUAGGAAUGGAUAUGAAUAUGAGUUUAUCGAAAAGAUAGUCAAAUACGUUUCCAAAAAGAUCAAUUGUGUUCCUUUAUAUGUUGCCGAUUACUAUGUUGGUCUCGAGUCUAGGGUCCUAAAAGUAAAUUCAUUUCUGGAUGUCGGAUCUAAUGGUGAAGUUCAGAUGCUAGGGAUCUAUGGGACUGGAGGAAUGGGAAAGACGACGCUUGCAAGAGCAGUUUAUAAUUCCAUAGCUGAUCAAUUUGAUGGUUUGUGUUUUCUUAACGACAUAAGGGCAAAUUCAGCUAAAUAUGGUUUAGAGCAUCUACAGGAAAAUCUCCUUUCCAAAUUAGCUGAAUUGGACGUUAAGUUAGGAGAUGUCAACGAGGGAACUCCAAUCAUAAAAGCAAAGGCUUCACCGAAAGAAGGUUCUAUUGAUUCUAGAUGAUGUUCACGAACUGAAGCAAUUGCAGGUUUUGGCUGGAGGAAUUGAUUGGUUUGGUCCUGGUAGUAAAGUGAUCAUUACCACUCGAGACGAACAAUUGCUAGUAGGUCAUGGGAUUGAAAGAGCAUAUGAAAUAGAUAAGUUAAAUGAGAAAGAAGCUCUUGAAUUGUUGAGGUGGUCUGCUUUCAAAAUUAACAAAGUUGAUGCGAAUUUUGACGUCAUUUUACACCAAGCAGUAACUUUUGCAUCAGUCCUUCCAUUGGCUUUAGAAGUAGUGGGUUCCAACUUGUUUGGAAAGAAUAUGAGAGAAUCGAAAUCUGCAUUAACAAGGAUUCCCAUGAAAAAGAUCCAAGAGAUACUUAAAGUUAGCUAUGAUGCUCUGGAGGAUGAUGAGCAGAAUGUUUUUCUGGACAUUUCUUGUUUCUUAAAAGGAUAUGAUUUGAAAGAAGUUGAAGAUAUAUUUCAUGCUCAUUAUGGUAGCUGCAUGAAACAUCAAAUUAGACAGAUUCACCCGCAAUCUGUACACAGGUUUGAGUCACAAAGGAAUCCACACCUUUAUCAAUGAGGAUAAGGAAUCUACUUUGAAGGCCGUCCAAGAAUCUAGGACUUCCAUUAUCAUCUUCCCUGAGAAUGCUGGUUCAGAAUCCUUAGGCCUUUCCUAUCUUCUAAAAAUAGGAAUGCACACCUUUAUUUCCCCUGUUUUUAUCAACACUGAUAAUUCUCAAGUGCACACGAAUGUUACCAGUUGUUAUUAUCCAGACCAGUCUGACCCAAAUAUGCGCCCGUUUGAGUUGCAUUUUUAUCUAAGAUGGAGUUUUGAUUUAGAUAAAGUAGCUAAAUUGCCCGACUGGUAUUUCAAAGAUUGGUACCUUCCUGACCACUAACAUUGUUACCUUUUAUUUAUUUAUUUUAAUUUUAGUACAAGAACAAAAAAAUGAUCCGUAAACAACUCUUUAAAGAUUCUUCUUUGCGUGGGUUUUGUAUUUUGAAAAGAAUGCCUGCUUUCUUCUUGAAUUGUAUUGUAAUAAUAAGAUAUAUACGAAAUCCUUGACAUAAAUACAUAUAGUUUGACCUAACCUCUCUGGUUUGGCAGCGUAGGGAAUGAAUUUGAGUUAAUCAACAAGAUUGUUGAAGAUGUCUCGAGGAUACUUAAUGGUGUUCCUUCUUUACACGCUGCAGUAAGAAAUGAAAAACCAAAAUUCUAAACCUUUGGGCACUUUUUUUUUUUCUUUCUUAUUUUCUUCUUUACAUGCAAUCAUCUGAAAGCAUCUUCUAAACAAAAACAAUUAUUCAAAUCUUUUUGAAGAAAUAAACCUGACUGAAAUUACCUGUUCUUGUUAUCGUGCAGGUUUCCGAUGUUUCUCAGACUCGCAGAGUUGUUCAAGUUAUAAUGUUGAUCUCACUUAGGGUGUUUCAAGCCGAGACGACUUGGAGAGUAAUUGGUUUUAUGUCAUGUAUUGUUGGCUUGUUAUGUUAUGCUCUAAGCCCUUCUUUCAAUCGAUUAUUUGGAAGGUGGAAUCCUUUCAAGGUCUUUCUCUAUGUAGCGUUGUCCUUAGCCAUCUUAACCACCAUAUUAGUUGUAAAGCAGGCAUCACCUUCCACGCGCCAUGUUCAACUAAAAAACACUUGCAUAACCUUUGUGGUUUUGAUGAUUAUCUCAGUGUACUCAUUCUUCUAUGACGAAGCUGUGAAUGGAAAACCUAACAUACUGAGUGUAAUUUCAAAUGCUGCAUUUGCUUUUGUAUCAGUAAGCUUGCACAGACUGCUUAAGUUUGGGGUUGAGAUGGGUGUGUUCUCUUAUUUUGUAGGUUGCUUUACAAUUCAACUGUUAACCAUCAACUGGGUGUUGAACUUUUUUGCCAUAAUCUUCGGUUUUCUGCUCUUUCUUCUUCAUUCUACUAUGAAUCCCCAACCCAAUGUGGCUAGUGAACGUCAAGAUAAUCAAGUUUGAGAAGGGUUGGUAGUGGUCGGUGGUCAACAUGUUGGAAUUGAAUCGUGAAGCAAGUUUAAGAAAUUAGCAUUGUAGGGUAAUUUGGCUUUUUUAUCUACAUAUGUCCAAUAAUAGUUUGGUUGGCAAUGAAUCGUGUCAACUUGAACAUUUGGAACUUGGCUCAACAAUUAAUUCGUGAACUUUAUUUAUGAAUUCUGUGAACUUUGUUUAUGAACCCAAUUGAGUUGAAUUUGAGGAUGUUGUGAAUCCGGUUUCAAACAAACCUUCACACCAAUGAAAUAAACCAAUGAUGUGUGGAGCAAGUGAUAGUGAUAAUCAAUGAGAACAAAAAUGGUCUCCAAGCAAACAACAACAAAACAGCCCUAGACUAGUGUAUAGCAAAACCACACAAGAGAUUCCAAAGCAUAAACAAGAUAAGCGGUAAAAAGAAAGAACAAAACACCGAGAAGAUUGUUGACCCAGUUCAGCCAAUAUGGCCUAAUCUGGGGGAGAGAGCAGCUCUCCAAUCUAAUAUGAGAAAGUGUUACAAAAGGUUACAACACUCUAGCCUUCAAGCUUUACACAUGAACAAACCCUAGAUUCUACCCUUUGGUAUUUUCCCACUCUCACACUAUGAACCCUAAAACCCAAGGUGAUUACUAUGUUUUUUUCCCAAACCCAAGAGACACUCUCAACAAAGACCCUCAACCCAUUUGUUCUUUUCUUUCAUUUCAUUCAAAAAUUAUUUUUACUUUUCUGUCUUAUGUAGAAUUUUUCUACGUGUAAAAUAAUUAUUAAGUCGAAAAAUUUCUAACCAUUUACCCAUUCACUAAACGUAAUUAAGCACAAGUGAACUAACCAUUUAAAUUGAUAUACUGAAAUUUGAUGUUGAAUUUGUGUGUUAAAAUAGCACAACUCAUUAAAAUCUUAAGUUGAAUCGGUGAAAUGUUGAAGUUGUUAAGUGUCUUCGUUGAUUUGUCCUGUCUUUUCUUUUGUAUUUGGUAGAUAGGAAAUGGGAAGGAAGUUUAACUCACGAUGGUCUUUGGUCAAUGGAUCCUCUUAAGUUUCACUUCUUGAUUUAUUUUGAAACCCUAUAUAUACACUCAUCCACAUUCUUACUUCUCAUACUAUUCUUACUUCCUUUUUAUUCUCUAUUCUCAUGGCUAUGCUUCAAUCAUCCGUCUCCUCAUCCUCUUCCUUCUCCUAUGGAUUCACCUAUGACGUGUUCCUUAGCUUUAGAGGUAGUGACACUCGUUAUCGUUUUACUGGAAAUCUCAAUAGAGCUCUUUGUGACAAGGGAAUCCGAACCUUCAUGGAUGACAGAGAGCUUCAAGGAGGUGAAGAAAUAACAUCAUCACUUUUCAAGGCCAUUGAAGAGUCUAGGAUUUUCAUUCCCGUCUUGUCUAUCAAUUAUGCUUCUUCUUCAUUUUGCUUGGACGAACUUGUCCACAUCAUUAACUGCUUCAAGGAAAGCGGGCGUCUAGUUUUGCCAAUUUUCUAUGAUGUGGAACCUUCUCACGUGCGACAUCACACGGGCAGUUAUGGUAAAGCACUGGAUGAUCAUAUAAAGAAGUUCCAAAAUAACAAGGAUAGCAUGGAGAGGUUGCAGAAAUGGAAGAGUGCUCUUACUCAAACUGCUAACUUCUCUGGCCACCAUUUCAAUCCUGCUGGGUACCCCACUUCACUCAUGUUUUACAUUCUUACAUAUGUCAUAUCUCUUUAAUAUUCUAUUAUCUUACUGUUUCAUCUUACGGUUUAAAUAGAAUAUAUUCUUUUUAUUCUUAACAAGUGUAAGUUACUUGUAUGUCCGUUUUAUUCUUACAUAUGUCGAACAAUAUUUGAAUUGUAUUUAUACAACUAUUAUUAAUAAAUUGAUGUGGCUGUGAAUUUGUGAUGCACUUAAUCAAACUUAUUUUAUUGGGUAGGAAUGGCUAUGAACACGAGUUUAUUGAGAAGAUAGUCAAAUAUGUAUCUAACAAGAUCAAUCAUGUUCCUUUAUAUGUUGCUGAUUUCCCUGUUGGUAUCGAGUCUAGGGUUCUAAAAGUAAAUUCACUUAUGGAUUUUGGAUCUAAUGGUGAAGUUCAGAUGCUAGGGAUCUAUGGGCCUGGAGGAAUGGGAAAGACGACACUUGCAAGAGCAGUUUAUAAUUCCCUAGCUGAUCAAUUUGAUGAUUUGUGUUUUCUUCACGAUGUAAGGGGAAAUUCAGCUAAAUAUGGUUUGGAGCAUCUGCAGGGAAAGCUCCUUUCUAAAUUAGUCAAACUGGACAUUAAGUUAGGAGAUGUCUACGAGGGAAUUCCAAUCAUAGAGAAAAGGCUUCACCAAAAGAAGGUUUUGUUGAUUCUCGAUGAUGUUCACGAACUAAAGCCAGUUGGAAGUUUUGGCUGGAGGAUUUCGUUGGUUUGGUCCUGGUAGUAUUGUGAUCAUUACCACUCGAGACAAACAAUUGCUAGCUCAUCAUGGGAUUGAAAGAGCAUAUAAAUUACAUAAGUUAAAUGAGAAAGAAGCUCUUGAAUUGUUGACGUGGAAGGCUUUAAAAAAUAACAAAGUUGAUACAAAUUUCGACAGCGUUUUACACCAUGCAGUAACUUAUGCUUCUGGCCUUCCAUUGGCUUUAGAAGUAGUGGGUUCCAACUUGUUUGGAAAGAAUAUAGGAGAAUGGAAAUCUGCAUUAAAUCAGUAUGAAAGGAUUCCCGAUAAAAAGAUCCAAGAGAUACUCAAAGUAAGCUUUGAUGCUUUGGGGGAAGCAGAACAAAAUGUUUUUCUCGACAUCGCUUGCUGCUUCAAAGGAUAUGAAUUGAAAGAACUUGAAGAUGUACUUCAUGCUCAUUAUGGUAACUGCAUGAAAUAUCAAAUCAGAGUGUUGCUCGAUAAAUCUCUCCUAAAUAUCAAGCAGUGCCAAUGGAGUCUUACUGAUGUUGUGACGUUACAUGCCUUGAUAGAGAAAAUGGGUAAAGAAAUUGUCCGGAAAGAGUCUCCAAAAGAGCCUGGAAGACGUAGUAGGUUGUGGUUCCAUAAAGACAUAAUUGAUGUCUUAGAAGCAAAUAAGGUGAAUAAUACUGAUAUCCAUGAAUGGUCUUUUUGUUAUAUUUAAUCUUUACUUUGUUCUUUUUUACUUAUCCUAUUAAUAUCAAUUUGUAAUCUAUGUUUAUUUAUUAUCGUUUGGUUGAUCUCUGUUUCUUUUUUGCUUUUUUAAGGGAUCAAGUGAAAUUGAAAUUAUAUAUUUGGAAUGCUCGUCAUCUGAGAAAGUGGUAGUAGAUUGGAAGGGAGAUGAACUGGAGAAGAUGCAAAAGCUCAAAACACUUAUUGUUAAGAAUGGUACCUUUUCCAAUGGUCCAAAAUAUCUUCCAAACAGUUUGAGAGUAUUGGAAUGGCAAAAAUAUCCUUCACGGGUCAUACCAUCUGAUUUUUCCCAAAGAAACUUUCUAUAUGCAAACUACAGCAAAGUGACUUUACAUCAUUUGAGUUGCGUGGCACAAUGAAGGUAUGUGUAAAUGUAAUGAUUUUUUUUCCCUGAGCAUGGAUUAAGUGGUAGCAGCCCAGGGAACUAUAUUUUCAUUGGUACCAAAAUUCUCAUUAUAUAUAUAUAUAUAUAUUAAAGGAGACUUUUAUUUAUAUUAUUUAAAUUAAAUUAAAUAUUUGCUAACAAAAUUAUAGGAGCAUUACGAAAUUAACACUCAUAAAAUAUCAAAUAAAAUUAAUUAAUUACAUUCACAAUUAGGGAACUAAAAUUAGAAUAACGAUAUAGAGUUUGAAUAAUUUAAGAGUAUUUUUAACUACUUUAUAUUAACACUCAUGAGUCAUAUUAUUUUAUCCAGUUUAUUCUUGAUCCCAAUUAUGUUAGAGCAACUUCAAUGGGGGUUCCUUACUUAAAAAGGAUCACUUCCUACCAAUCCCUCGUAAAGACCUCCCAUGGAAGGAAGGAAAAAAUAGUAUCUAUUAAGUAACAGACAGCUAUAUAAGAAUCAUCUCUCUCUUGAGCAACUAACGGGUCUCAUGCUUAAAAGAAGUAAUAAAAUAUGUACAAGUUGGUUCACUUUCAAAAGAAGUAAUAUUUUAUGUGGUAAUUUAUAAUUGGGUUAAUAUGUUUUUACCCCCCUGUAAUUUGGGCGAGUUCUGGUUUUCCCCCCUGUAAAAAAAAAGUUUAGAUUCCAACCCUGUAAAAUAAGACUAUUUCGUUUUAGCCCCUGACCCAUGUGACUGUGCAUAAUUGCUGACGUGGCAAGCUAAGUGGCAUGCUGACUGUGCAUAUCUGAUUAUGUGGCGUGCUGACUGUAUAAUUAAUUUUUUUAAUUUAUUUAAAAUAUAUAUAUAUAUAUAAAUUAAAAAAAAAUCAGGAUUUUUUUUAUUACAAAAAAUAUUUUCUGAAAUAUAUAUUUUUCGAAAAUUCCAAAAUUUAUAAUUUAAGAAAAAUAUAUAUUUCCAAAUUUUUUAAAAUUAUUUUCGAAAAAAAUUCAAAUUAUUUUCGAAAAUUUGGAAUAUAUAUUUUUUGAAGUUUAAAACAGAUUUUUAUUCGAAAAAGAAGUUUUUUAAAUUUUCUCAAAAAAAAAAAAAAUCUGGAUACAAAUUUAUUUAAAAAUUUAGGAAAAUUUAGAUUUUUUUUUAGAAAUUUUUAUUACAAUGUGUUACAGAUUUGAGAAUAUUUUUUAAUAUUUAAAAAUGGAGGAUAAAAAAAAUCUGGAAAUUUUUUUAAUAUUUAAAUUUAUUCUUAUCUAUUUGUUACAUGUGUUAUUUGUAUUAAAAAUUGUGGGCAUUUUUUAAAAGAAACAACCAGCCCUAAAGCUGAAAGGGGUUGUUUUCUUUAUAUAUAUAUUUCCAAAAAUAUUAUAUAAAAAAAUUCAUACACUUACUAUAUUUUGAAACUUUCGAAAAAUUUAAAAAAAAUAAAAAUUAAAUAAAAAAUUUAAAAAUAUUCGAAAAAAAUCCAAAUUAAUAUUUUUUUCUUAAAUUUUUUAUUUUUUGAAAUUAAACCAUUACACACAUGUCAGAUUUAAAAAAAAUUAAAAUUAAAAUAAUUACACAGUGGCGUGCCACGUCAGUGUCAAUUACACACGUGUCAUAUUUUUUUAAAAAUAAAAAUUAAAGUAAUUACACAGUGGCGUGCCACAUCAGCGUCUGGAUGGGGUCAGUGGUGUUUUGUGGAGAAUCUUCAUAUUACAGGGGUGUUUUGUGGAGAAUCUUUAUAUUAUAGGGUUGGAAUCUAAACUUUUUUUUUUACAGGGGGGUAAACUGGAACUCGCCCAAAUUACAGGGGGGUAAAAACAUAUUAACCCUUUAUAAUUUUAUAAAUAAACAUGAGACCCUUGGGGCAUGGAUCUUAGCUUGGAGCCACUUGGUUCAAAUUUCAAAGAUCCAACUUUUUUUUUUCUUUUUUGGAUUAAUCAUGUUUUACCCCCUGUAAUAUAGACCAUUUCAGGGUUUGCCCCAUGUAAAUUUUGUUUUUUCGUUUUGGUCCUUGUAAUUUUUUUUGUUUUGUUUCUGAAUACACCCUAGGCCAUAUGAAUCUGCAUUUUUGCUGAUGUGGCACGCUGAGUCACCUUUUUUAGUGAUGUGGUACGUUGACUGUAUAAUUCAUUUUGCUUUUAUGUUUUUGUGGACCCACGUGGCAUUUGUGCCUUUUAAAAAAAAUAAUAAAUAUAAAAUCAUUUAUAUUAAUUUAGAAAUAUGGAAAAUUAUUUUUCAAAAAUCAAAAAAAUUUAUUCAUUUUUUCAAAAUUACAAAGAGAUUUUUUUUUUUAAAAAAAAUUCACCAACUUAAUAUAAUUCACAAUUUUUGAAAAAAUUAUUAAAAAAUAUAAUACUAUAUAUAUAUAUUUUUAAUUUGAAAAUUAAUUCCCAGAGUUUUAUUUUAUUUUUCUAAAAUCUUCAUAAUUUCGUAAAAAUGAUAUGAUUUUUUUCUUUUCUAAUUUUUUAGUUUCGAAAUAGAUUUUAGAUAAUAAUUUCGGAAUAAAAUUUUAGAAAAAAAGACUGAAUUUUUUCUAUUGAAAUUCUGGAUAAAAAUUAUCUCUUUUUUUUUAUGUUUAAAAAAAAUAUUAUCUAAAUUCUGAAAAAAUAUUUUCAAUUUUUAUUUUAAAAAAAUUCAGGAAAAUUAUUUUCAAUUUGUGUGAAUUUUAAUUUUUUAUUUUCAAGAAAUAUUAUCUAAUUCCGCCAAAAAAAGAAAUAUUAUCUAAUGUUUUGUUCUUUUAAUUAUGAAAAAUAUUUCCCAAAUUUUUGUUUAAAAAAUAAAAAAGCAAUCUUUUUAAUUUCGAAAGAAAAAUCUAAACUUUUUUUUUUUAAUUUCAAUUUUGUUUUUCUAAUUUUUCGAAAUAUAUUUUCUAAUUUCUUUAAAAUAUUUCGAAAUAUAUUAUGUUCUACAAUUUUGCUUUAUAAAAUAAAACUUCUUAUUUUCGGAAAAAAAUAUGAAUUUUUUUCUAUUUUUUUAUUUUUGAAAAUUAAUUUCCAAAUUUUAAUUUUUUUUUUAAGUUGUGAAUUAAUUCCUUUUCUUUGGCCUGAUAUUUUGCAGAGGUUUGUGAAUAUGAGAGAGUUAAAUCUAGACAAUUGUCAAUUUUUAACACGGAUACAUGACGUCUCCAACCUCUCAAAUUUAGAAAUAUUUUCAUUUCAACAGUGUAAGAAUUUAAUUGAAAUUCACAAAUCUGUUGGGUUCCUAAAUAAACUUGAAGUCUUGAACGCUGAAGGUUGCAGCAAGCUUAUGAGUUUUCCACCUCUGAAGUUGACCUCUCUUGACGAACUAAGGCUUUCAGAUUGUAAGAAUCUUAACAAUUUUCCAGAAAUAUUAGGAGAGAUGAAUAAUAUAAAAAGAAUUUGUUGGGAAAACACUUCCAUUAAAGAAGUGCCAGUUUCAUUUCAAAAUCUCACGAAGCUUCUUUACUUAACUAUAAAAGGAAAAGGAAUGGUUAGGUUGCCAAGUAGCAUUUUUAGGAUGCCAAAUCUGUCAGACAUUACAGCUGAAGGUUGCAUAUUUCCCAAACUGGAUGAUAAAUUGAGUUCCAUGCUGACUACAAGCCCCAAUCGCCUAUGGUGUAUUACACUGAAAAGUUGCAACUUGUCAGAUGAAUUUCUUCCAAUAUUUGUCAUGUGGUCUGCUUACGUGAGAAUCUUAGACCUAUCAGGAAAUAAUUUCACAAUUCUUCCAGAAUGCAUCAAAGAUUGUCACCUUUUAUCGGAUCUUAUAUUGGAUGAUUGCAAGUGCCUUAGAGAAAUUAGAGGGAUUCCACUAAAUUUAACAAACUUGUCUGCAGCAAACUGCAAAUCAUUGACUUCCUCGUGUAGAAACAUGCUAUUGAAUCAGGUUUUGUUUUAUUCUUUUGUUUUCCUUGUAUUUCACUUAAUAUUAUAUUGUUUACUCUAUAUAUGAUUUAUUAAUGGCUAACAGGAUCUUCAUGAGGCUGGAGGAAAAGAAUUUUAUUUGCCAGGAUUUGCAAGGAUUCCAGAGUGGUUUGAUCACCGAAACAUGGGACAUAAAUUUUCUUUUUGGUUUCGUAACAAGCUCCCUUCCUUUGCUAUCUGUUUUUCUACUAAAUCAGUUGCUACUGCAGCCUGGAAUGAUAUUAAUAUACUCCCCACUCUGAUCAUCAAUGGCAACAAAUUUCGUCGAAAUCGUCAUGGUCGGGCUUAUAUAAUGUCGACUCAUCAUACAUAUUUGGAUGAUAUGAUACGGGAAUUUGUAAGACGUGACUACAUGGACGAAAUAGGUUUAGAAAAUGAAUGGAAUCAUGCAGAGGUUACAUAUGAACAUCCGAGAGUGGAACCACUAACAGAAAUUGGAAUCCAUUUUUUCAAACAGAAAAAUAACAUGGAUGAUAUUCAAUUCACCGAUCCUUAUAAAAGGAUAAAAUUAAAUGAUAAUUAUAAUGAUGAUGAUGGUGAUGAUGUUUUUUAUGAUGUUGAUGAUGUUCUUGAUGAUGAUAAUGAUGGUGUCUUUGAUGAUGAUGAAGACGACCACCAUUCAGAAUAGUUCAGACCAAUCACUAGACCACUCAUUGGUGCAAAAGCAUAGAUAAAUAGAAUCAUUCAUUGGAUGAUAUUGUGAAUGAUUAACUCAAUAUGUAAUUUUAAUUGUGUGUACUUAUUUAUUAUGUUAAACAUUAUCAUUAUUAUUUAUGUUCUUCAAAAGAUUGCUCUCUCCACUGAGUUAUUAUCUGUUGCAUAAUAUGCAAUACUUCUGAAUUAUAGUUUUCAUUACAUACAUUGCUAUCCCUUGACGAUUGAGUAGAAAAAUGUAGUAUGAUAGUGUUACUUGUCAUCUCUAUGGUUAGCGCCAUUAGUGUUGUGUACUGAGAAGUUCACACAAUCCGAUUAAAUUGUCUUAUUUGAGGUUAUCUAAUGUAGGCUGGAAAUAUGAACAUUUGUAUGGCAGGAUCUGCAAUUACAUUACGCUAUUAAAUGUAAAAUGAAAUGCUUAUGCAAGAAGAAAAAAAACUUAUUUAGUAGCAUGCUCCUGCAAGAGGAAGUCAAUGAUUUGCAAUUUAAUGCAGACAAAUGUUUUAAACUAGGAUAUAAAUGCAAUUCAUAUAAAAAGAAAAUGUUAUUGUCUUCAUGGAAAUAAAAAUGACAUCCAUCAAUGUAUCAUUCAUUCUUGUCAUAAAGUUUGCAGAAAACAGGGGGCUCAUAUGCGUUUAAAAACAAAACUCCAAGAAGUAUAAUGAAAUUCAAAAUGGAUCUAGCCAAUUAAACAAAAUAUCUUCUGCAAUAGACGAUAUAGAAGAGGCAAACCUAGAAGAUUCAUGAAAAAGAUUCUUGUCAUAUUGUGAGAAUCUUAACACUUUUCCAGAAAUAUUAGGAGAGAUGAAUAAUAUAAAAAGAAUUGCUUGGGAGAACACUUCCAUUGAAAAAGUGCCAGUUUCAUUUCAAAAUCUCACGAAGCUUCUUUACUUAAUUAUAAAAUCUCCCCAUUAGUGUUGUGUACUGAGAAGUUCACACAAUCCGUUUGACCCGACUUUACCUAUUUUUCAAUUUUUUCUUCCAAAUUCAGUUGCUUCUACAUUGCCGUUGUAGGAGAUUAAGGUAUCGUUUGACCCGACUUUUUAUAUUUUUACAUUGCUAUCCGUCGACUUUUUAUAUUUUAACUAUUUUCCAAUUUUUUCUCCCAAAUUCAGUUGUUUCUACAUUGCCGUUGUGGGAGAUUAAGGUAUCGUUUGACCCGACUUUUUUCAAACUUCUCUACAUUUUUAAGGAGAAGUUAGGCCAAACACAAUAUCAAUUAAGUACUUACUAAAAAAAUAACUUUUUUUGAACGCAUAAAAUUGAAUAGAAUGAGCUUUGACUAGAAGUUGUUGAAUGUUACUUUAAAAAAUUACUUCUCGAUAAUUUAUUUCACAAACUCCUCUUUUCAACUCACGCUAGGAACCUUUUCUUUAUUUUUUUAAUAUUAUAUUUCAAUAUGUUUUUUUCUUCCAUUUAACUUUAUUUUUUUUCAACCGUUCCAUUUAAUUUUUUAAGGAGGUUCCAUUUAAUUUUAUCUUUUUUUCAAAGAAAUUUUAUUAUCUUUUUAUCACUUAUAUAUUUAAUUUCAAUAUCGUUUAAUCAUCAUAACCUCACAAAUAUUUUUAUUCACGCUGUCAUUUAAUGAUUCCAAAUAUUUUUAUUUCCUUUCUUCAACCUCGCGAAUAUACACACACACACAUUAACAUGUAGAGUAAUAUCUUAUGUCCGUCUGUCUGUUUUUUUUGUUACGCUAAUGCAUAUAAUUAUUUAGUGUUGCUUGGUUGAGUGCUACCUCACCAAUUUUUUUAACUAUUUUCCAAUUUUUAUAUUUUUAAAAACUUUUAGCUAUUUUACAAUUUUUUAUUUUUAACUAUUUUCCAAUUUUUUCUUCAGUUGCUUAUACAGUGCCUUUGUGGGCGAAUAAGAUACCGUUUGACCCGGUUUUUUUUUUCUUCAACUUCUCUAAAUUUUUAAGGAGAAGUUAGGCCAAAUACAAUAUCAAUUAAGUACUUACUAAAAAAUGUACUUUUUUAAUGCAUAAAAUUGAAUGGAAUGAGCUUUGGCCAAAAGUUGAUGAACGCUACUUCAAAAAACUACUUCUCGACAAUUUAUUUCACAAGUGUCUCUCUUCGAUUCACGUUGGGAACCUUUUCUUUUAUUUUAUAAUAUUAUAUUUCAAUACGUUUUUUUCUUUCAUUUAAUUUUUUUUUUGAACCGUUGCAUUUAAUUUUUUUUAAGGAGGUCCCAAUUAAUUUUAUUACCUUUUUUUCAAAGGAAUUUUAUUAUAUUUUUAUCAUUUAUAUAUUUAAUUUCAAUAUUGUUUAAUCAUCACAACCACAAAAUAUUUUUAUUCACACUGUCAUUUAAUGAUACCAAAUAUUUUUAUUUUCUUUCUUCAACCUCACAAAUACACACACUGCGUAUAAUUUUUUUUGGCGUUGCAUAAUGCGUAAGAUUAUUUUUAUAAAAUUUUGAUUUUAAUUAAAAGUAAAAUUGUAGAUGUCUUUUCUUUGAAAAAUAUAUAUAUGGCAUAUCAAAUGAGAUGAGUGUUAAGAGUAAAUUGGCUUUCUCCUUUUCCCUUAUCCCGUUCUCUCUCUAUUGCAUAAACCAUAAGUGACUGCUCUUUUUACCUCUUCUAUGUAUUGUUCUUCCUUGAUUUUUCUCUCUAUAGAAAGGAUCUCUUCGACGUUCUUCUGUUCCUUUCUUUCCUCUCCCUCAAUUUAGGUUCAAUAGAAAGAAAACAUAAUAAGAUUUUGUCAAAGAAAAGAAAGAUUAUGAUAGCUUUGGGAGACAAAUUCCAAUUAGUUAGAAUAAUUUCGUAGAAGACUAACAAAUAAUCACAAGCUGAUUUGUUUAAGAGUGAAAUUAUAGUUUAGUUCUACUAUUGUUCAAAUCCAACUUAAAUUAACCUUUUUUAAAAAAUUUAAUCAAUUGAUAAGAAACGGUCACGAAAAUGGAAAAUAGAAAAAAACAUUAAAUUGGGGUAUGUAUGAUUUAGGUGGCCAUAGAAAUCUUCUAACAAAAGCAGUAAGCAUUGCCAUCACCAACACUAGCUAAAGUGUUAUGUACAAGUUGCAUUGAGAAGCGUGUGCAGAGGAAAGAUGAAGAGUUGUGGUUUUUGUUUUAAUUGACAGCAUAGGGCUCCAAUUAUGAUGAUAUGUUUGAAUGUAUGAAGUUGUUGAUAAUUGAAUUGUUGUUAGUAAAAUUUCAUGUUCAUAGUAUGAGAAAAUGGUAUAUGAUGAAAUGUGCUCAAUUAGUUGAAUUAUGCCAUGAUGUUGUUGAAUUGUGAUGAGAUUUUAUGAUCAAUUGUUGUGGUUGUUGCUAAGUGAUGUUGUUGAUGAUAAUUCAUGGCUUGAGUUUGCAUAAUUAUGAUUUAUUGUUGAGAAAUGAGAUGUUGUUGGUAGUUUGAUAAAAAUUGGUGAAUUGGUCCAAAUGUCAAUUGUUUUCAUGUUUAUUGAGUCCUUGUGAGUCUUUUUAGUCAUAUUGACCUGUAAACAACAUCUAGAAACACAUUUGGGCAUUGAGGGAUCAAAAUUGAGAAUUUUGGGUGAAAAGGGGUUGAAACCCGUAACAUUGAGGGAUCAAAAUUGUUUUAGACUUUUGUCGAAACAAACUUAUGCAAAACUAAUGGAGCUUGCAAGUUGAACCUACAGCUCAUAUAGACUUAGGUAAGGCUUGUGAGAUUGGUUGAACAUCUUAAUCAUGUCAAAAAUGAUAUUUCGGGUGGGAAUGUGAAAGAUUGUGAAAUUGAGUUUUUCAUACGAACUUAAGCUAUUCUUUGGAUUAAUGUCUAAUAUUCCGUAAGUGGCUUAAGCUCAUGACUACAUGAUUGAUUAAGAUUGUUUGAGAACUUCCAACUUGUCUAUGUUGUUUUUGUCUUGGGAAUUAUCAAUUUUGGCCGUUUGCCACUUGAUACGGAUUUGUCGGAGAUGUUCUUUUAAGGCAACCAGAUUAUAAAUUAUCGUGACUAUUCUUAUAUGACUAAGUGAGGUUGUAUGAAUAAUUGAUUAUAUAUUGGACAUGAUGUUUAUCAUGGGUUGUUGUAUGAUCUCUUACUUAGGAUGUAAGAAAUGCUUGAAAAUGGUAAAACUAUAUGAAGUAGUUGAGGUUGAAUAAUAUUGUUGAUUAUUGAUAAUCAUGUUGAUGAUGUGAUUCUUAUUUGAAUUAUAACUUGAUUGUGUAUGGACAUGAUUUCUUGAUAAUGCAAUUGGUGUGGAGAUGAUCAAUAUAUUUGGAAGUUGUCCUCUAUAUUGUGGUGAAAAUUGUGGAGUGUUGUCGCAUUAUCGAGUCUUUGUUACAUGUCCAUGCAUCAUAGUCGUGUUGAGAUUUUAUAUGAUGUUUUUGUUGCAUCAUCGGGUUCCAGCCUAGCAGAGAUCAUUUAGUGAUCUAGUUUUGUGGACUUCGGUCUUGCAGAGAUCCAUUAGUGAUCUAGAUUGUAGGCGUCGGCCUUGUAGAGACCCUUGGCGGUCUAGAUAUAGGUGACGACCUUGAAGUGAAAUGGUACCACAUGCAUAUAAGUGUCGAACUAGGUGCACAUCAUGACAUGAGUCUUAUUGGUGAAAUGUGAUUGAUGAUUAUGCAUGAAUGUUAUCUCGAUUUUGGGGUAUCAAGUCAUUAAUUAGGCUUGAACCUUUCAAUCUUUGAUAUUCUCUAUUUUUUUCUUGGGAAGGGUAAAAUUGAGAAGAAAAAAAACCCUUAGAAACUCUAAGUUCGGGGGUCGUUUUCGUUACGGGAAGGUGUUAGGCACCCGCAACGACUAUAGUACUCUAUAGGAACCGUUUUUCUAAUUUUAUGUCUACGCUUUAUUUUUAAUGCUAUUUAUUAAAAAAGAGAAGUUGUUUAUGUUAAGAAUGGGGGGAGGAGUGUUUGGAUUUUUAUUUUAUUGGACUUGGAGAGGUUUUGACCUCUAGCCUACAUACCCUUUUAAGGGAUCAAAAUUCCAUGUAGUUCUCUUUCAAAAGUAUUUUUGGUGUGUUUGAUUGAUUUAAGUUUUGGAAAAUGGUUUUGAAGAAGAGAAAGAGGCCGUAAAGGCAUGAGAGAAGAAAAUGGUGAAUGGUUGGUUCAAUUAUUAAAAAAAAAGGUCUACGUUGGAAUUAGAGUUCAUUUGAGUUUGAUUAAGAAAAUAAAGGGAAAAUUCUAUGGAGCUUUGACUCCAAGGUUUAUUAGGAAAUUUUUUUCAAGUGAUGGAAUUUGCUUAUUUUGGAAAAUUGAUAUUUUUCUAAGUAUCGCGUUCCCUAAGCAUACAUCUAAGACAGUAAAUCAACAUACAACGUGUGUGCGUGUCGGUGCUUGUGUCGGUGUACAUCAUUAGAGUCCAUUGUCCGUUACAUUGGCCCUAGUUUACAUUCUAUGGUCUUGCAAGAAAUUAAAAAAAGAGAAAUUGAAACUACCUAAAUUUACAUGCCAACUUUAACAUAGAAAUGAAUAGUAAAAGACCUAAACUAUAAGAAAUGGGGAUGAAAUGAUAGAAUGCUUAUGGGGUGAAUGAAACAAGAAAUAAAAUGGUUAGUAGAAUAGGGUAUAAAAUAAUAGGACAAGUAAGCAAAGAAAUACGAGAUAAAUGGUAAAAACAACAACAAUAACCAAAAUGUAAAAAGUACACAUUACUUGUAACAAAAGAAAUUAACAAAUCACAUCAUAAACAGUAAAACAAUCACACAACCGGUAGCAUAUUCAACAUGAAAUUGCAUAUUAAUCACUCAUAUCAUGCACCAAGAUACCAUGAACACAAUGUGACAAGAAAUUCACAAGAAAUUCAAUUAAAAAGUGAAAAAACAUCAAGAACUAUCACAUACAUUUUUUUAUUAGUUUUUCAAUGUGUAAAAACACCACAAGAAAUACCAAAAAUGAAUUAAAGAACACAUAGGAAAUUUUUUAGAAUUUUUAAGAGAAAAAAUUGAACAAGCAGGGAUUCAAAUAGCAAGACAGCAAGGUGCAAAUAGCAAGAAACUAACAAGAAACAAAGGAAUAUGCGCAGAAGGAGGCCCAAGCCCAAAACCUAAGGCCUGGAUGCACAGGGAGCGUUGGAUUGAUCCAGGGAGGGAAACCCUAGAUCCAACGCUCAGGAUUGCAAGGAAUUGGACCGGUAUUGAACCGGUCCGGUCUAGGGGUCUAUAUAAGCAAGCUUACACCAGUUCAAUCACUUUGCUAUGUUCUUUCUCUCUCUUCUCUCAUCCUAGUGAGAGACGCUCUCGCCUCUCUCUUCCCUUCCUCCGUCGGUUUCUGGAUUGAGCGGCCGGAGAAGAUGAAGAUCUGGCCGGAACCUUCAUAGGUCCGCCGGAAUCUUCAUCCUCUCCGGCGAGAUCUCCAGUUUUCUGGCAACCUCUAAUCUCACCAGAAAUUUACGAAUCUUACAUCAAACUCUUCGUUUCUUCAUCCUAAACAUGAUUCUAACACUGGUUUUCACAAAUAAAGCUUAAAUCAAUGUAGAUCUAAAGAUCUUGCUACGGCUUUGAAAGUUUUUUUAGGUUUUUUAGUUUUUUGAAAGAAACUCUUUGAAACUUUGAAGAUCUACAUUGAUUCGUUCUUGUUAUUGUUCUUGAGAAAGGAAAAUGAAGAUUCAAGUGUUACCUGUGAUUUAAUCGGAGAUUUCGAACGAAAAUCUUCGGAAAACUUCGAUUUGAUUUUGUUUCGUUGAUUUCGUUCUUGAAUCCGAAAAUAAAUCGGUGUUCUGGCUGGUUCGAUUCCUUCUUCUUCUUCACCGGUUCAAAUUCUUCUUCUUUUCCUCUUCGUCUUCACUGAUUCUCUGUGAUCGGUGCUUGAGUUUGCCAAUGGCGAAUUCGCGCCUUGAAUUGCAGAGAAUCCAGUUCAAUGAUGAUGAUUCUUUGAAGAAUCGCUGAGAACUGAACGAAUUUAGUUGAAAUUGUUGAUGAAUUGUGAUUCUGGAAUUCUAGGGUUCAUGAAUGUUCUUCAUGUUCUUGAUAGUUUCUGAGUUUUUGAUCUAACUGAAUGGAGAGAGAAACUGUGCUUCUGUUUGUUGAGGUGGCGUGAAUUGUGUGGAUCCCUUUUGAUUUGUGCAGUGAAUGCACCUUUUAUAGGCUGCUAAGUGUGCUUGAGACCCAAUGGGAGAGGGACACCUGUUUUUGGACUUAGGGAACUCUCUGCAAAAAAGAAAAAUUGAAGGACUGGACUGUAAUUAAGAAAAUGGACUAAAAGGCAAUUUUUAAACUGUUUGGGAUUGAAAUGCAAUUUUAGAAACUGUUCAUGGACUAAAAUGCAAUUAAAAUAAAAUUGUACUAAAAUUGGUAAUUUGAAAAAAACGUAAAGUGAAACCAAAAAAUAAAAUCAACAAAAGGACUAAAAUGAACCAAUUACAAAAAUGAGGUAUUUCAAAAUACCUCUCUGUCGAAAUUUUGACAGGAAAAGACCAAAAUGCCCCUAGGGACUAAAAUGACUCAACCUGGCUCAGAUGCAAUUUUGAAAUGAUUUUAAACAAAGACCCAACAGUGUGUUACUUUAGUAAGAUAAGUAUAUAGCAAUUUUGUUACACAUGCACCACCAAAGAUAACUAACAUUAUAAUUAAAAUAUAUGUUUUGAAAAGUGGAUCCAGAGAGAAUCGAAGGAGGUUACAUAAAUUCAUAAGCUCCUUGUUAAGCCGGAGGGUAAGCUGAAAAUUUAGGCUUAUUGAAAAUGGCAUAAGCAGCAUAUGAAACUAUGAUAAGCUAUUUUUAUUUAUUUACCCAAACACCUUUAAAAAGGCUUAUGGAGUAGAUGAUAAGUCCACAUAAGCUCAAAAUAAGUCAAUCCAAACGGGACCUAUAUAUAAUUAUGAUGGUUUGGUUAUCAUUACUCUAAAAAAAUAAGGUAAUUUAUAUUUAAUUUCCUAUAUUUUUCUCAGUUUAAAUCUUUCCUCACUUCAACUUUUUUGAAUUAUAUUAAUACCUUAUUAACUAAAGUGAUGUUUAGAUUGUAAGUUUGUAUACCAAACCAUCAAGUAAAUAAAGAUGUCUUAAAACACUAUGAAAUAAAUAGAUUGACUAUUUGGGAUAUUAAGGAACAAACACACGCAUUAAAAUUAGGACUAAUAAGGUAUGUAGUCAAUUUUAAAAUGAACAAUUUUUUUACUUUUAUCUUGUGAUUACGUAGAUAAUGGAAAAAAGAAAAAUCAUGAGUGCGUUUAUGCUAAAACCUAAGCAUGAAUAUACAAUAUUGUUUAUAUCUUCUUUGUAGUUUUUUAUUAAUGUAAUGAAAAUAAUUAUGUUUUUCCGCUUGAAUAAUAGGUAAUGAAAAUAGUAGCAUCGAACUUCACUUUAGAAAAUAUUAAGUGAUAGGUUUAAUAAUAUGGGGUGGUUCUUAACUUUCCUUAGUACAUGUGUAGAAAAGCAUAAUUUUGAUGAGUAUUUUUAUGGCAUCUUGAAUUGUAUAAUAUAUGUGUUAUACCCUGUUUUUGGACCUAAAAAUACUGGGCCCAAUUUCAUUUUCAAACUUUGUCAAUUAUCAAAUUUCAACUGCACAGUUCAAAUUGUCUCUGCCUCGCAGUAUUUUCAAUCACAAUUUUACCUAUGUUUUUCUUGCAUAAAACCUUUCGAAAUGUCUUUACUUAUCUUGUAAGUCAUUCAAAAGUGUCUCUGAAUCAUUACAUUGCUUUUUCUACAGUUUAUUUCAAAAUUUGCAAAAAAAGUCAUACAGAAGGGUAUUUUGGUCAUUUCCUGCAGUGGGACCCAUUUUCAUCCUUGUGACUGUCUCUGAGUCUUUUCAAAUUCAUUUUUAACUUUCCAUCAGUAAACCUUGCUAAUUUCAUUUCAAACUUGCAUCUGAGUCAGUGUCGAGUCAUUUUGGCUCUGUUUAGGUCAUUUUUAGCCCUAGGGGCAUUUUGGUCAUUUCACAUAAAAUUUUGGCAUGGGGAGGUUACUUUGAAGUACCUCAUUUAAGCCAUUGGUUCGUUUUAGUCCGUUUUGUCAGUUUUAUUUUUUGUUUCACUUUACAUUGGGUCAAAAUUACAAAUUUUAAUUCAUUUUAUUUUUACUUUGCAUUUUAGUCCCUUAAUUUUGUUAAAAUUGCAUUUAAGUCCAAAUUGUCCAAUUUUUAUAUUUUGAGUUCUGUUUUUAAAAAAUUGCAGUCCAGUCCCAUAUUUUACAAAAUUGCAGGGAGGUCCUCAAAGUCAAAUUACAAGGCAGCGCCCAAGUCACAAGUUCAACGCCACAUGGCAGCUUCUCAUUGGGUCUCAAAUACAAGUGGCAGCCUAUAAAAGGCGCAUUCAAUGCACAGUCAAAAAGAAAAGUCAGAGAUUCAUCAAAAACAGAUUUUCUUUCUCUCUCCAUUCUGUUACAGAUCAAAACAGAAAAACCAGAGAAAAAUCACCAAGAACAAAAACCCUAGAAAAUUUUCCAGAAUUGAAAUCCAUCAAAAGUUCUCAGUGAUUCAUUGAAGAAUCAUCAUCAUCGAACCGAAUCCUUCACAAUUCUAGUGCGGAUCCGUCACCAAUAGCGACGAAUCCAAGCACGAUCGCGAAGGAUCCGAAAGUUUGAGAAGAAGAGGGAAAGAACCGAUUUAUUUUCGGAUCCAAGCCAGAAAAUCAAAACCGCGCCAAUAUCCAAGUUUUCCGAAGAUUCCAUUCGAAAUUUUCAGCCAAAAUUACAGGUAAAACUCAGAAUCCAUCUCUUUUUUUUCGCAAGAUAUCAACAAGCACGAAUCAGUUGUAGAUUUACCACGUUUUAAAACUUUCAUCCAACAAAACUUAAAAAAGAACCAAGAAAACUCUUUUCAAAACCGUGAACAAAAGUGUAGAUCUACAACGAUUCAAGCUUUGCAUGAAAAAACCAGUACCGGAUUCGUGUUUAAAACGAAAAAGGAUUUCCAAAAACGUAAAAAAUUUCGAAAACGGAGAAGUUUGUUCAACUACGGCGGCGGCGCCGCCACCCUUGGGUGGCCGGCCACCGCGCCGGAAGAGCAAGCCUCACCGGAGAAGAUGAAUCUUCAUCUUCCUCCUUGAAGUUUCCGGCGAGAGGGAAGAAGAGAGAAGUAGGAGCUUCUCUCACUAGGAUGAGAGAAGAGAGAGAAGGAGAGGAAAAUAAUGAGAAAAAAACCGGACCUUCCCCCCUUUAAAGCCAGUGAACCGGACCGGUUCAGGACCGGUCCAACCCCCUUUGUUCCUGGCCGUUUGAUCUAGGGUUCCAGAAUCCUAGAUCAAUCGUGUGGCUCCUGUGCAAUCUGAGUUUUGUGUAUUGGGCCUUUGGUUUGGGCUUUGAUCUUUUACGUUUUUGUUUGUUUUCCUGCUAUUUGCACCAUAUUUCUUUGCUGUUUGAACCCCUGCAUGCUUAAAUUUUUCUCCAAAAAAUCUCCAAAAAUUAUCACAUGUUUCUUGAUAUUUUCUUAGUGUUUUUAUGACAUUUUUGAACAUCAAGGAUCUACGAAAUUUUUGUAUAAUUAAUUCAUAGCAUUUUAAUUCUCUUUGAAUUAUUUGUUAUGGAUUCUUCUUCACACAUUUGUCCUUGAUGUGAGAAUAUGUAAUAAAAGCUACUUGAUGUGUUAAUAUGAGAGAUUUGUGCCUAUAAUUUCAUGUUGAUUUGCUGUUUUGAUUUGGUUCAUGAGUUCUUAAUUUUAUGAACAAUAUAUGCAUAUUUUGAAAGACAUAAAAUGCCAAGUUCAUUCUAAAAAAUAUGGCAUGAAACAAUGCUUGCAUGCUUCCAAUAAUUCCAUGCUAUAACUUGAGAUAAAGAAAACUCUUUCAAAAUUUGUUAAAGCAUGAGAAUUAGAGGCCAAGAAUGCUUUAGGUUUCAUACCUAAGUUUUUAGGGUUUAAUGUCAUUUUGUUAACUUUUUGUGCCAUUUUGCAUGCUUUUAUUUCUUAGUACUUGUUAUGUUUUUUUCUUUUCACUAACAAGUUUAUUUCCAUGUUUCAUGCAUCCCAUUUAGCAUCCCCUCCACUUUCUUUAGCCUAGCCUUUAUCUUUUGCAAGUUUUAAUUCAUUUGGUAAUGUGAUUUGUUAUCAUUGGUUUGUAGCUUGGCAAAGGGGCCAUAGAAUGUAUUUAGGCAAUUUUUGUAAUAUGGACUAUGGACACUAUGAUGCACCGACACGCACACACUCACCUUAGAUGUAUGCAUAGGAUUGUAUGGUUAAAUAAGCGUUUAGGUUUUAAACACUUAGAGAAAAUCCAUCUUUUUUUUUCAAAAAAAAUAAUUGAACUUCACUUCAAAAACUUUCCUAAUAAGUAUGAAGUCAACACUUCAUUUUUUUUCUUUCUUUUUUUUCUUAAGGAAAAUUCAAUUCAUCUUAAUCAUUUAGACUUUCUUUCUAAUCACUAAUCAAACCUCACCUUUUGCUAAAAUCUAAUGCUCAUGAAGCCUCCCAAUCUCCUUCUUCAAAACCUUUUUUCUCAAAACUUAAAAUUAAACAAUUAAAACAAAAAACAAGUCUUUUUAGCAAGAACUACGCCGGUUUUGAUCCCGUAAAACGGUACGUAGGCAAUGAGUCAAAACUCAUCCAAGCCGAAAUAAAAUCAAAGUCUUACAAUCUCUCCCCCCAUUCUUAACUAAAUAAACCUCCCAUUUUCAAAAGUAAGCAAAAAUAAGCGCGAAUAUAGACUUAGGAAAACGGCUCCUAUAGAGGACUAUAGUUACUCCGGGUGCCUAACACCUUCCCGUAGUAAAACCGACCCCCGAACUUAGAAUCUAAGGGUUUUUCUCAAUUUUGCCCUUCCCAAGAAAAAAUAGAGAAUAUCAACGGUCAAAAGGUUCAAGUCCAAUUAAUGGCUUGGCACCCAAAAACCAUGAUAACAGAAAUGGCGACUUCACUGGGGAAAUUCUUUUUAGCGGGUCGCGCCUAGUUUUCCUUAGUGUAUAUUUACGCUUUGUUUUAUUGCUUACAUAUGUGAAUACUUGUUUACUUUCAUUUGACGUGUGGGGUGAGAAUAUCAAAAGUCCUAUACCCGGGCUGAGUGAACUUAUGUUUAGGUAGAGAUAUAAUCGACAAUUCGAUCCGGGGGUUGCCUCGUGUAUUGGAUUAUGCGAUCAAUCUCACAUAGCUGAGGCAUUUUGAAGGUGAUAUUGUCGGCGUGUGUUGUCAUGCUUAGGCACUUCACUUUCAAUUGUUCGACGAAGCUAUGAACCGUAGUUACCAAACCCAUCCUAGCCUUUUUAGGACGUAGUGCGGUGGCUAAAUUGAGUGUUGUCUCAAACUUUAGUCGUCACGCGAUACUACACUCAAACUAGACCUUCUCACAAAUAAUCAUGGAACGGGUGUCGUCCUGUACUACCAUGAUAUAUGUGAGAGAGGUUGCAGUUUGGGAACUGUGUUAGAACCUUGGUUACUACUAUCCAAAGCCUUAGUUCACCGGACACCGUGUCCAUCCGUGGCCUUGUUACUUUGAAUCUCAACCCACAUUGUAACUAAACAACACAAUCAUGCAUACAUGCAUUCAUGCAUAAACAUUUUUCAUGCAUUCAUCGAAGGACUUAAACAAAUGGAAAUUUUUUGUAAAUAAUCACAGGUAUGAAGAAGACUAAGUGCUACAAGUUCAAGGAAGUGGAUUUGGUUAGUUUGAGAGAGUUGGCGCUCAAGGUCAAGAGCCAAACAGGGUUCCGACUCCGGUAUGGGGGAUUGCUUACUUUGCUCCGAACCGAUGUGGACGAGAAGCUAGUGCACACUCUAGUGCAAUUUUAUGAUCCAAGCUUCCGUUGCUUCACUUUCCCGGAUUUCCAGUUGGUUCCUACUCUCGAGGCUUACUCCAAUCUAGUGGGUUUACCUAUAGCCGAGAAGACGCCUUUCACCGGUCCCGGGACUUCUCUUACUCCUCUGGUUAUUGCUAAGGAUCUCUACCUCAAGACUUCCGACGUCUCCAACCAUCUUAUUACCAAAUCUCACAUCCGCGGGUUCACUUCAAAGUAUCUUCUUGAUCAGGCUAAUCUCGGUACUACUCGUCAGGAUACACUCGAGGCUAUUCUUGCUUUGCUUAUCUACGGGCUCAUUCUCUUCCCGAACCUCGACAAUUUCGUGGACAUGAAUGCUAUCGAGAUCUUUCAUUCCAAGAACCCGGUUCCUACUUUGCUAGCAGAUACCUACCACGCCAUUCAUGACAGGACUCUCAAGGGCCGUGGGUAUAUUCUUUGCUGCGUAUCUCUUUUGUAUAGGUGGUUUAUUUCACACCUUCCGAGUUCCUUCCAUGAUAACUCGGAAAAUUGGUCCUACUCUCAGCGGAUUAUGGCCCUCACUCCUAAUGAGGUCGUCUGGCUCACUCCUGCCGCUCAAGUGAAGGAAAUCAUUAUGGGUUGUGGAGACUUUCUCAAUGUACCUCUUCUUGGUACUCGGGGAGGAAUUAACUACAAUCCCGAGCUUGCUAUGAGACAGUUUGGUUUCCCUAUGAAGUCGAAGCCCAUCAAUCUUGCUAUAUCUCCAGAGUUCUUCUUCUAUGCGAAUGCUCCUACCGGACAAAGGAAAGCUUUCAUGGAUGCUUGGUCCAAGGUUCGAAGGAAGAGUGUGAAGCAUCUAGGUGUGAGAUCCGGUGUUGCUCAUGAGGCCUAUACUCAGUGGGUGAUAGAUCGAGCUGAGGAGAUUGGUAUGCCUUAUCCAGCUAUGAGAUACGUGUCUUCGUCUACUCCAUCUAUGCCUCUACCUCUACUCCCCGCGACUCAGGAUAUGUAUCAGGAGCAUCUAGCUAUGGAGAGUCGUGAGAAGCAAGUGUGGAAAGCUCGGUAUAAUCAAGCCGAGAAUCUAAUCAUGACUUUGGAUGGUAGAGAUGAGCAGAAGACUCAUGAGAAUUUAAUGUUGAAGAAAGAGCUAGCUAAGGCCCGGAGGGAAUUGGAAGAGAAAGAUGAGCUGCUUAUGAGGGACUCCAAGAGAGCUCGAGGACGACGAGACUUCUUUGAUAGAUACUGUGAUUCAGAUUCCGAGUCCGAUGAUCUUCCGACUACUUCUUAUGCUUGAGGGCUUCAUUUGUUUAUCUUGUUGAAAUUUCAAAGUCUUCCUUUUGAAAAUGCUAUGUAGUUUUGAUUAUUUGCAAAAUUUCUAAUUUGUUUAAAAAUCCUUCGAUGAAAAAAAUAAGUCUUUCGCAUUUGCAUUUGCAUAUCAUGCAUCAUAUGCAUCAUGCAUCGGUCACAAAGGCUUCCGAGUGCUUACCACCUCCUGGUUUCUCUGCUACAGUGUGAAAAGUGGCUCGUGCUCAGAGAAUUUACGAACCUGAUAGAAUUGAUCGAACCAGAGAAUACAGAAGAAAGAAAAGGGCUAUGGAAGAAGAGAACACACAGCUUCGUACCGAAUUGGCAUCUCUAAGGGAGGAAUUGGCCAAAGCUCAUGAUGCUAUGACUGCUCUGUUGGCUGCUCAGGAACAACCAGUUCCUGUGGUUUCUACAGCUGCAAAUGUGACUCCUACCGUAACAACUGAUCCCCGCUCUAUCAUGCCAUCCGGGUAUCCUUACGGGCUUCCACUGCACUAUACUGCUAAUACAGGGGCAGGGACCUCUGGUACUACCAACAGUGGCCCAAUCCCAGGGGCAAACUUAACUCCUGUUAGUACUGCCUUGACUCAAGCUGCAACGACUGUUACCGAGCCCAUUGUGAAUGCGGUGCCUCUAUUUGUCCAUGCUAAUGCACACCACGGGAGUAUUACCACAACCGGAACUAUGGAAGAGAGAAUGGAAGAACUUGCCAAAGAGCUCCGACGGGAAAUUAAGGCCAACAGGGGAAAUGGAGACUCCAUUAAAACCCAGGACCUCUGCUUGGUAUCGAAGGUAGAUGUUCCAAAAAAGUUCAAAGUCCCGGAGUUCGACAAGUAUAACGGGCUGACUUGUCCUCAAAAUCAUAUUGUCAAAUACGUCCGGAAAAUGGGCAACUACAAGGACAAUGAUUCCCUUAUGAUCCAUUACUUCCAAGACAGUCUGAUGGAAGAUGCUGCGGAGUGGUAUACUAGUCUGAGCAAAGAUGAUGUCCAUACUUUUGAUGAGCUGGCCACCGCUUUCAGGAGCCACUACGGGUUUAACACUCGUUUGAAGCCGAAUAGGGAGUUUCUCAGGUCCCUAUCUCAGAAAAAGGAGGAAAGUUUCCGUGAAUAUGCGCAAAGGUGGAGAGGGGCAGCUGCCCGUAUCACUCCUGCUUUAGAUGAAGAAGAAAUGACCCAGACGUUCUUAAAGACCUUGAAGAAAGAUUAUGUUGAGAGAAUGAUCAUUGCUGCCCCGAACAACUUUUCGGAGAUGGUCACCAUGGGAACCCGUCUUGAGGAAGCAGUCAGAGAUGGGAUCAUUGUGUUUGAGAAAGCUGAAUCUUCUACGAGUGCAUCGAAGAGGUAUGGUAAUGGACACCACAAGAAGAAAGAAACGGAAGUGGGAAUGGUGUCAGCUGCAGCCGGUCAAUCUAUGGCUACCGUUGCUCCUAUCAAUGCAGCUCAAAUGCCUCCGUCAUACCCAUAUAUGCCGUAUUCUCAGCAUCCGUUCUUCCCACCGUUUUAUCAUCAGUACCCUUUGCCACCGGGCCAGCCUCAAGUGCCCGUCAAUGCAAUUGCCCAACAGAUGAAACAACAGUUGCCGGUUCAACAACAACAACAACAACAGCAGCAGCAGCAGUAUACUAGGCCAACUUUUCCUCCUAUACCAAUGUUGUAUGCUGAGUUGCUUCCAACUCUACUCCAGAGAGGGCAUUGUACGACUAGACAAGGCAAGCCACCACCUGAUCCGUUGCCUCCAAGGUUCAGGUCUGAUCUCAAAUGUGACUUUCAUCAAGGUGCCUUAGGACAUGAUGUCGAGGGGUGUUAUGCUUUGAAGUAUAUUGUGAAGAAACUCAUUGAUCAAGGGAAGCUGACUUUUGAGAAUAAUGUUCCACAUGUCCUUGACAAUCCUCUUCCAAAUCAUGCCGCUGUGAAUAUGAUCGAAGUGUGUGAGGAAGCUCCUAGACUUGAUGUCCGCAAUGUUGCCACUCCCCUGGUGCCUCUGCAUAUCAAGCUAUGCAAAGCUUCUCUGUUCAGCCAUGAUCAUGACAAGUGUCUAGGAUGCCUCCGUGAUUCUUUGGGUUGCCAUGCUGUUCAAGACGACAUCCAAAGCUUGAUGAAUGAUAAUCUUCUGACUGUCAGUGAUGUUUGCGUGGUCGUGCCAGUUUUUCACGAUCCGCCUGUCAAGAGUGUACCUUUGAAGAAGAAUGCUGAGCCUUUGGUAAUAAGGUUGCCAGGACCAAUUCCUUAUGUUUCGGACAAGGCAGUGCCAUACAAAUACAAUGCUACUAUGAUAGAAAAUGGAGUAGAGGUGCCUCUAGCCUCCUUUGCCACAGUAAGUAAUAUUGCCGAAGGGACUUCUGCAGCGCUAAGAAGCGGGAAAGUCCGUCCGCCGUUAUUUCAGAAGAAGGUAGCUACGCCAAUCACUCCACCAGUUGAAGAAGCAACUCCAACCGUUGUUUCACCCAUUGCUACAGAUGUGAACCAGUCAGGUAAAUCUAUAGAGGAUUCAAAUUUAGAUGAGAUUCUGAGGAUAAUAAAAAGGAGCGACUACAAGAUCGUUGAUCAAUUGCUGCAGACUCCUUCGAAGAUAUCUGUAUUGUCAUUACUCUUGAGCUCUGAGGCUCACAGGAACACCUUGUUGAAAGUGCUGGAGCAGGCAUAUGUUGACCACGAAGUCUCGGUAGAUCGUUUCGGUGGCAUAGUGGGAAAUAUUACUGCUUGUAACAACCUCUGGUUUAGUGAAGAAGAGUUGCCGGAAGUGGGAAGGAGUCACAAUCUGGCUUUGCAUAUCUCGGUGAACUGUAAAUCAGACAUGAUAUCAAAUGUGUUGGUGGAUACCGGUUCCUCUCUCAAUGUAAUGCCCAAGACAACUCUAGAUCAGUUGAGCUACCGCGGGACCCCGUUGAGGAGAAGUACUUUCUUGGUCAAAGCUUUUGAUGGAUCUCGAAAGAAUGUGCUGGGAGAGAUAGACUUGCCGAUAACCAUUGGCCCUGAGAAUUUCUUGGUUACCUUCCAAGUGAUGGACAUUAAUGCAUCCUACAGUUGCCUGCUGGGAAGACCGUGGAUACACGAUGCAGGUGCGGUUACUUCCACCUUACAUCAGAAGUUGAAAUUUGUGAAGAAUGGAAAACUCGUUACAAUCCAUGGUGAAGAAGCAUACUUAGUCAGCCAGUUGUCUUCUUUUUCUUGUGUUGAAGCAGGGUCUGCUGAAGGGACUGCUUUCCAAGGGUUGACCAUUGAAGGUGCAGAGCCUAAGGAAGCUGGGGCUGCUAUGGCUUCAUUGAAAGAUGCUCAGAGAGCCAUCCAAGAAGGUCAGACUGCCGGCUGGGGCAAGAUGAUACAGCUCUGUGAGAACAAGCGAAAGGAAGGUCUCGGGUUCUCCCCGUCAUCAAGGGUUUCCUCGGGAGUCUUCCACAGUGCAGGGUUUGUUAAUGCUAUCUCUGAAGAAGCCACUGGAUCUGGUCUCAGGCCUGUAUUUGUUACACCAGGAGGCAUGGCGACAAAUUGGGAUGCCAUUGACAUUCCUUCAAUCAUGCAUGUUUCUGAGUAAUGUGUCUUGUUGCUUUAGUGCUUUGUUUUCAAAAAUAACAAUCCUCUCGCUCUGCCCAAAGCGAGAGUGAUAUUUUCUGUAAGGGCAUGUUUGUUUCGGCAUUGCCGUUGAUUAAUAAAAUUUUGUCGUUUCUUCCACGACUACUUUUUUUAGUGCUUUUUCCCUUGGAAACAAUGGUAAUGCCAGAAAAAACCAAAACGUCUGUAUUUUCUUAUUAAUUUCAAAAAUCUGCAUGAAAAAAAAAACUCUUUCUAAAAAUCAUCCAAUCAUUAUAUGCAGGUUGAACCAUAAUAAACCCGUUGAACACAGUAAUCCUACGGUUCCUCCAAGUUUUGAUUUCCCUGUAUAUGAAGCCGAAGAUGAGGAAGGUGAUGACAUACCGUAUGAGAUCACUCGGUUACUUGAGCAAGAAAAGAAAGCCAUUCAGCCUCACCAAGAAGAGAUUGAGCUUAUCAACAUAGGUACCGAGGAAAACAAGCGAGAAAUCAAGAUUGGUGCUACUCUAGAGGAAGGGGUUAAACAGAAGAUCAUCCAACUCCUCCGGGAAUAUCCGGAUAUUUUUGCAUGGUCCUAUGAAGAUAUGCCAGGUCUAGACCCUAUGAUCGUGGAGCAUCGGAUCCCUACCAAGCCUGAAUGUCCUCCCGUCAGGCAGAAAUUGAGGAGGACUCAUCCUGACAUGGCCCUCAAGAUCAAGAAUGAAGUUCAAAAGCAGAUCGAUGCGGGUUUCCUCAUGACAGUUGAGUAUCCCGAAUGGGUUGCCAAUAUUGUGCCUGUGCCGAAGAAGGAUGGUAAAGUUCGGAUGUGUGUUGAUUUCAGGGACUUGAACAAAGCCAGUCCAAAAGACAACUUUCCGUUACCCCAUAUUGACGUGCUUGUUGAUAAUACUGCUCAAUCUAAGGUGUUCUCCUUCAUGGACGGUUUUUCCGGUUAUAAUCAGAUCAAAAUGUCUCCUGAAGAUAGAGAAAAGACAUCUUUUAUCACUCCAUGGGGUACUUUCUGUUACAAAGUGAUGCCGUUCGGCCUAAUCAAUGCCGGUGCUACCUACCAAAGGGGAAUGACCACUCUGUUUCAUGACAUGAUUCACAAAGAAGUUGAGGUAUAUGUGGAUGACAUGAUUGUGAAGUCAGCAGAUGAGGAGCAGCAUGUUGAAUAUUUAACAAAGAUGUUUGAAAGGUUGAGAAAAUACAAGCUGCGAUUGAAUCCCAACAAAUGUACAUUCGGUGUCAGGUCCGGAAAGUUAUUAGGCUUCAUUGUCAGCCAAAAGGGCAUUGAAGUCGAUCCUGAUAAAGUCCGGGCCAUCCGAGAAAUGCCAGCUCCACAGACAGAGAAGCAAGUCAGAGGUUUCUUGGGACGUUUGAAUUACAUCUCCCGAUUCAUAUCUCACAUGACUGCAACCUGCGGGCCGAUCUUCAAGCUACUUAGAAAGAACCAGCCUGUUGUAUGGAAUGAUGAAUGCCAAGAAGCUUUUGAUAGCAUCAAGAAUUACCUGCUGGAACCACCUAUCCUUGUCCCACCCGUGGAAGGAAGGCCUUUGAUUAUGUAUUUGGCAGUAUUUGAUGAAUCCAUGGGAUGUGUACUUGGUCAACAAGAUGAAACCGGAAAGAAAGAGCAUGCUAUCUACUAUCUAAGCAAGAAGUUCACCGAUUGUGAAACUCGAUAUACAAUGCUUGAAAAGACUUGUUGUGCUCUAGCUUGGGCUGCCAAACGCCUGCGCCAUUAUUUGGUGAAUCAUACAACUUGGUUGAUAUCCAGAAUGGAUCCGAUAAAGUAUAUCUUUGAGAAAGCGGCCGUUACUGGGAAGAUCGCACGCUGGCAGAUGCUUUUGUCUGAAUAUGAUAUUGUGUUCAAAACUCAAAAGGCAAUCAAAGGCAGCAUUCUUGCCGAUCACCUUGCUUAUCAACCUCUUGAUGAUUACCAACCAAUUGAAUUUGAUUUCCCUGAUGAAGAGAUCAUGUAUUUGAAAUCCAAAGACUGCGACGAACCGUUGAUUAAUGAAGGUCCAGAUCCCAAUAGCAAGUGGGGUUUAGUCUUUGAUGGUGCUGUUAAUGCUUAUGGUAAAGGAAUUGGGGCAGUCAUUGUAUCCCCGCAAGGGCAUCACAUUCCCUUUACCGCUCGAAUUCUGUUCGAAUGUACCAACAACAUGGCUGAGUAUGAAGCAUGUAUCUUCGGGAUCGAGGAAGCAAUUGACAUGAGAAUCAAACACCUCGACAUCUAUGGAGAUUCUGCGCUCGUCAUCAAUCAGAUAAAGGGGGAAUGGGAGACCCACCAUGCUAAGUUGAUUCCUUAUCGUGAUUAUGCGAGACGUCUUCUGACAUAUUUUACAAAGGUUGAGCUGCAUCAUAUUCCUCGUGAUGAGAACCAAAUGGCUGAUGCUCUUGCUACUCUAUCUUCCAUGUUCCGAGUAAACCAGUGGAAUGAUGUGCCAUUAAUCAAAGUGCAACGCCUUGAAAGACCUUCACAUGUGUUUGCUAUUGGGGAUGUGAUCGAUCAAGCUGGUGAAAAUGUGGUUGACUAUAGACCUUGGUACUACGACAUCAAACAGUUCUUGCCGAGCCGUGAGUAUCCGCCGAGUGCUUCCAAACAAGACAAGAAGACCUUGAGAAGAUUGGCCGGUAGAUUCCUGUUAGAUGGAGAUAUUCUGUACAAGAGAAACUAUGACAUGGUAUUGUUAAGAUGUGUUGAUGAACAUGAGGCAGAGCAGUUAAUGCAUGAUGUACAUGACGGUACCUUCGGGACCCAUGCUACAGGGCAUACUAUGUCAAGAAAGUUGCUACGGGCAGGUUACUACUGGAUGACUAUGGAGCAUGAUUGCUACCAGUACGCCAGAAAAUGCCACAAAUGUCAAAUCUAUGCUGAUAAGAUUCAUGUGCCUCCGCAUGCUCUCAGUGUUAUGUCAUCCCCAUGGCCGUUCUCAAUGUGGGGCAUCGACAUGAUUGGAAGAAUUGAACCGAAAGCUUCAAAUGGUCAUCGUUUCAUCUUAGUGGCAAUUGACUACUUUACCAAAUGGGUUGAAGCAGCAUCUUAUACCAAUGUGACCAAGCAAGUGGUAGCUAAGUUCAUCAAGAACAACAUCAUCUGUCGAUAUGGUGUUCCCAGCAAGAUUAUUACCGACAAUGGUACCAACCUGAACAACAAUGUGGUGCAAGCUCUUUGUGAAGAAUUCAAAAUUGAGCAUCAUAACUCUUCUCCUUAUAGACCUCAGAUGAAUGGUGCAGUUGAGGCCGCCAAUAAGAAUAUCAAGAGAAUUGUCCAGAAGAUGGUAACCACUUACAAGGACUGGCAUGAGAUGUUACCCUAUGCUCUGCAUGGCUACCGCACUACCGUGCGCAGUUCAACCGGGGCAACCCCUUUCUCUCUUGUAUAUGGUAUGGAAGCGGUUCUUCCUUUGGAAGUGGAGAUCCCAUCUCUCCGUGUGAUCAUGGAAGCAAAGUUAUCUGAGGCUGAAUGGUGCCAAAGCCGGUAUGAUCAGUUGAAUUUGAUUGAGGAAAAACGUAUGGAUGCCAUGGCUCGUGGACAGUCAUAUCAAGCAAGAAUGAAGACUGCCUUUGACAAGAAAGUCCAUCCUCGAGAAUUCAAGGUAGGGGAACUUGUAUUGAAAAGGAGGGUAAGCCAGCAACCCGACCCAAGGGGCAAGUGGACGCCUAACUAUGAAGGUCCUUAUGUUGUCAAGAAGGCCUUCUCCGGUGGUGCUUUAAUCCUUACACACAUGGAUGGUGUAGAGCUUCCAAAUCCAGUGAAUGCCGAUAUAGUCAAGAAAUACUUUGCCUAGAAAUGUGAAAAGAACAGCGUGGUAGGUCGAAAACCCGAAAGGGCGGCCUAGGCAAAAAUGCGCUUCCCGGUGGAUCGAAAACCCGAAAGGGCGGUCCAGGCAAAAAUAAGGGACAAAAAAAACAAAUAUGAAAAGCUCGCUGAGAUUGUACGCAACUCAGGCAAGAAUGAGCGUCUCGAUGAGCCGAAAACCCGGAAGGGCGGUUCAUGCAAAAAUGAGAUUGAAACAAAAGGCAAGUAACUAUAUCUGGCCAACCACCGUCCCCCUUGGGGCAUCUGCAGCUGUUAAUGCCUAUCUUCAUCAAAAGCUUCUGUACUUGUGAAUUCAAAGUUUCUAAGAACUGUAGUGGUUACCGUGUUCAAUGUACCACCAACCAAUAAAAAUUACCAUUUUCCAAGCUUUGUGAAUCCGUGGAGUCAUGCCUUCGGCUGACCACCACUCUUAUACAUCAAAUUGAGCUUGUGCUGUUGUUUGAAACUCUAUUUUUCUUCUACUUUCAAAGCUGUAUACAAAACAUUUUCUUUCUAUUUUGAUAAUGACAAUGCUUGAAACAAACAUUUUUGAAAAUUGAAAACUUUUUGUGUGUUUUGAAAAGCAAGCCUGAGCAACAGGGUACGUUCAAAUGAAACAUGCAUGAGCGAGAGUAUGUUAAUGUCUAUUUCAAUAUAUGUUACAAGCAGGUUCUCCUCCAAGAUAAUCUGUGGUCAAUGGCAAGAAUGAAAAAACAGAAUGAAAAUGCAUGAAAAUGAAAAGGCUCGCUAAGUUGAAAACCCGGAAGGGCGGCUUAGGCAAAAAUGAGCACCCCGCUGGAUUGACAACCCGAAAGGGCAGUUCAGGCAAAAAUGGGGCAUUGAAAAGAAUCUAUUUCCCCGGUGGAUCGAAAACCCGAAAGGGCGAUCCAGGCAAAAAUGGGAUGCGAAAAAUGAGAAUGAGAAAAUAGCAUGCAAAAAGCAUUGACCACAGAUGCGAUGUCUACAACGUACCCAGCACUGAAAUGCCCAGCAUAACGGCGUUUUCCCCAGUAAAGCCUUCCGAGAUUCAAUUUCCAGCAAGUUGUAUAGCUACCUGCCCUCAGCCAUGGUUCCGAUACGUCUCCCAACGACGUCAUCUCCAAAGAGGAUUUCCAAGAAUGUGUAAUAUAGCACGAGCCACUACGUGCCCAAUACUCUGAUGUCUUGUCUUCCCCGUGAAGUCGUGCCUACAAAAUGCCAACAGUCAUGCAUUACAAGCAUUCAUACAUGCAUAAUCAUGCAUAUUACGUGCCCAUGCAUUUAAUGGAACUGUUAUAUCAUCCAUGCAUAUUGCAUUUCCAAUGUCAACAUCAGUCUCAAUUCAAUACUCAUGUCAGGUUCUCUGUCAAAGCCUUGUGAUCCAAUAAUAUCAAUCAAUUUCUACCUUUCAAACCAAAUCGACGCCAAGUCAAUCUCAAUCUAUGUUUCGUCAAACAAAACUCAAUCCCCAGUGAAUAUGUUUCUGUUUGGUCAAGUGGCUAGUUCAAGUCCAAGAACAGCUUGUACCUAUCAAUUUGCUUAUGUUAUCGGUCGAGUGCCCAGCUCAAUCCAAGAGCAGCUCGUACCUGUCAAUAUGUUUCCGUUUGGUCAAGUGGCUAGCUCAAUCCAAGAGCAGCUUGUACCUGUCUAUCUGUUUCUGUCCGGUGGAGUAACCAGUUCGCAUCCAAGAACAAGCUCACACCUGUUUAUUUGCCUUUGCUUUCGGUCGAGUGACCAGUUCGAAUCCAUAAGAACAACUCGUACUUGUCAAUUUCCCCAGUCGGGUCACCAGUUCGAAUCCAUAAGAACAACUCGCACUUUCCAAUAUCCCCAAGUGAGUUACCAGUUCGAAUCCAUAAGAACAACUCAUGUUUGUCCAGUAACCUCUAUCCCCUGUGAAGUGACCAGUUCGAAUCCAUAAGAACAACUCGCAGUUGUCUGUUUGUUUCAUCCCCGGUCAAGUGGCUAGUUUGAAUCCAAGAACAGCUUGUACCUGUCCAACUUGUUUCUAGUUUCCCGUUACUCUGCUAUUCACUAUCUUUGUCAAUGUCUACCAAUCCCGCAGUGGAUACGACAUAUUUUGUUAAUUCCAAUCCCCCUGAGGUCUUGCAUUCAUAAUCCAAAUGAUGCAUGACAUGCAUAUUAUUUGAAAAUGGGUAGGCGUAUUUUUACGUCCAAACACAGUGCAAAUGCUAAUAUUUAAGUAUCUUCGUCCUGUCAAGCCAAAGACUCCGUCUCUUGACUCUCCAGACAAAGAAACUUAAAUAGGGGCAGCUGUUAUACCCUGUUUUUGGACCUAAAAAUACUGGGCCCAAUUUCAUUUUCAAACUUUGUCAAUUAUCAAAUUUCAACUGCACAGUUCAAAUUGUCUCUGCCUCGCAGUAUUUUCAAUCACAAUUUUACCUAUGUUUUUCUUGCAUAAAACCUUUCGAAAUGUCUUUACUUAUCUUGUAAGUCAUUCAAAAGUGUCUCUGAAUCAUUACAUUGCUUUUUCUACAGUUUAUUUCAAAAUUUGCAAAAAAAGUCAUACAGAAGGGUAUUUUGGUCAUUUCCUGCAGUGGGACCCAUUUUCAUCCUUGUGACUGUCUCUGAGUCUUUUCAAAUUCAUUUUUAACUUUCCAUCAGUAAACCUUGCUAAUUUCAUUUCAAACUUGCAUCUGAGUCAGUGUCGAGUCAUUUUGGCUCUGUUUAGGUCAUUUUUAGCCCUAGGGGCAUUUUGGUCAUUUCACAUAAAAUUUUGGCAUGGGGAGGUUACUUUGAAGUACCUCAUUUAAGCCAUUGGUUCGUUUUAGUCCGUUUUGUCAGUUUUAUUUUUUGUUUCACUUUACAUUGGGUCAAAAUUACAAAUUUUAAUUCAUUUUAUUUUUACUUUGCAUUUUAGUCCCUUAAUUUUGUUAAAAUUGCAUUUAAGUCCAAAUUGUCCAAUUUUUAUAUUUUGAAUUCUGUUUUUAAAAAAUUGCAGUCCAGUCCCAUAUUUUACAAAAUUGCAGGGAGGUCCUCAAAGUCAAAUUACAAGGCAGCGCCCAAGUCACAAGUUCAACGCCACAUGGCAGCUUCUCAUUGGGUCUCAAAUACAAGUGGCAGCCUAUAAAAGGCGCAUUCAAUGCACAGUCAAAAAGAAAAGUCAGAGAUUCAUCAAAAACAGAUUUUCUUUCUCUCUCCAUUCUGUUACAGAUCAAAACAGAAAAACCAGAGAAAAAUCACCAAGAACAAAAACCCUAGAGAAUUUUCCAGAAUUGAAAUCCAUCAAAAGUUCUCAGUGAUUCAUUGAAGAAUCAUCAUCAUCGAACCGAAUCCUUCACAAUUCUAGUGCGGAUCCGUCACCAAUAGCGACGAAUCCAAGCACGAUCGCGAAGGAUCCGAAAGUUUGAGAAGAAGAGGGAAAGAACCGAUUUAUUUUCGGAUCCAAGCCAGAAAAUCAAAACCGCGCCAAUAUCCAAGUUUUCCGAAGAUUCCAUUCGAAAUUUUCAGCCAAAAUUACAGGUAAAACUCAGAAUCCAUCUCUUUUUUUUCGCAAGAUAUCAACAAGCACGAAUCAGUUGUAGAUUUACCACGUUUUAAAACUUUCAUCCAACAAAACUUAAAAAAGAACCAAGAAAACUCUUUUCAAAACCGUGAACAAAAGUGUAGAUCUACAACGAUUCAAGCUUUGCAUGAAAAAACCAGUACCGGAUUCGUGUUUAAAACGAAAAAGGAUUUCCAAAAACGUAAAAAAUUUCGAAAACGGAGAAGUUUGUUCAACUACGGCGGCGGCGCCGCCACCCUUGGGUGGCCGGCCACCGCGCCGGAAGAGCAAGCCUCACCGGAGAAGAUGAAUCUUCAUCUUCCUCCUUGAAGUUUCCGGCGAGAGGGAAGAAGAGAGAAGUAGGAGCUUCUCUCACUAGGAUGAGAGAAGAGAGAGAAGGAGAGGAAAAUAAUGAGAAAAAAACCGGACCUUCCCCCCUUUAAAGCCAGUGAACCGGACCGGUUCAGGACCGGUCCAACCCCCUUUGUUCCUGGCCGUUUGAUCUAGGGUUCCAGAAUCCUAGAUCAAUCGUGUGGCUCCUGUGCAAUCUGAGUUUUGUGUAUUGGGCCUUUGGUUUGGGCUUUGAUCUUUUACGUUUUUGUUUGUUUUCCUGCUAUUUGCACCAUAUUUCUUUGCUGUUUGAACCCCUGCAUGCUUAAAUUUUUCUCCAAAAAAUCUCCAAAAAUUAUCACAUGUUUCUUGAUAUUUUCUUAGUGUUUUUAUGACAUUUUUGAACAUCAAGGAUCUACGAAAUUUUUGUAUAAUUAAUUCAUAGCAUUUUAAUUCUCUUUGAAUUAUUUGUUAUGGAUUCUUCUUCACACAUUUGUCCUUGAUGUGAGAAUAUGUAAUAAAAGCUACUUGAUGUGUUAAUAUGAGAGAUUUGUGCCUAUAAUUUCAUGUUGAUUUGCUGUUUUGAUUUGGUUCAUGAGUUCUUAAUUUUAUGAACAAUAUAUGCAUAUUUUGAAAGACAUAAAAUGCCAAGUUCAUUCUAAAAAAUAUGGCAUGAAACAAUGCUUGCAUGCUUCCAAUAAUUCCAUGCUAUAACUUGAGAUAAAGAAAACUCUUUCAAAAUUUGUUAAAGCAUGAGAAUUAGAGGCCAAGAAUGCUUUAGGUUUCAUACCUAAGUUUUUAGGGUUUAAUGUCAUUUUGUUAACUUUUUGUGCCAUUUUGCAUGCUUUUAUUUCUUAGUACUUGUUAUGUUUUUUUCUUUUCACUAACAAGUUUAUUUCCAUGUUUCAUGCAUCCCAUUUAGCAUCCCCUCCACUUUCUUUAGCCUAGCCUUUAUCUUUUGCAAGUUUUAAUUCAUUUGGUAAUGUGAUUUGUUAUCAUUGGUUUGUAGCUUGGCAAAGGGGCCAUAGAAUGUAUUUAGGCAAUUUUUGUAAUAUGGACUAUGGACACUAUGAUGCACCGACACGCACACACUCACCUUAGAUGUAUGCAUAGGAUUGUAUGGUUAAAUAAGCGUUUAGGUUUUAAACACUUAGAGAAAAUCCAUCUUUUUUUUUCAAAAAAAAUAAUUGAACUUCACUUCAAAAACUUUCCUAAUAAGUAUGAAGUCAACACUUCAUUUUUUUUCUUUCUUUUUUUUCUUAAGGAAAAUUCAAUUCAUCUUAAUCAUUUAGACUUUCUUUCUAAUCACUAAUCAAACCUCACCUUUUGCUAAAAUCUAAUGCUCAUGAAGCCUCCCAAUCUCCUUCUUCAAAACCUUUUUUCUCAAAACUUAAAAUUAAACAAUUAAAACAAAAAACAAGUCUUUUUAGCAAGAACUACGCCGGUUUUGAUCCCGUAAAACGGUACGUAGGCAAUGAGUCAAAACUCAUCCAAGCCGAAAUAAAAUCAAAGUCUUACAAUCUCUCCCCCCAUUCUUAACUAAAUAAACCUCCCAUUUUCAAAAGUAAGCAAAAAUAAGCGCGAAUAUAGACUUAGGAAAACGGCUCCUAUAGAGGACUAUAGUUACUCCGGGUGCCUAACACCUUCCCGUAGUAAAACCGACCCCCGAACUUAGAAUCUAAGGGUUUUUCUCAAUUUUGCCCUUCCCAAGAAAAAAUAGAGAAUAUCAACGGUCAAAAGGUUCAAGUCCAAUUAAUGGCUUGGCACCCAAAAACCAUGAUAACAAUAUGCAUGACAUGAGGUUCGAAUUAGAGGAGCUUUUGUCAAGGUGUAGAAAAUGGCAUUUUUCAGCUUCCCGUUUGAAGAGAAAAUUGUAAACUCUAUUUAUAAUUGUUGCAUAUUUCAUUUUGAACUUUUGUAUUAUGCUUAAAAUAUGCUUAAAAUUAUCAUCCUGUAUUAAAUGAUUAUAACAAAGGCUUACAAUCCUCAAUAGACAUGGAAUAAGCAAGAAUAUUUUUAUCAUCUAUCAUACAUCCAUAUUUCCUCGAACAUUACUUCUCUUUCAAUUUUGAACAUCAUUACAAAAUUUUCCAAAAUAAAGGCCAACAAGAAUGGGAGGAAAUCCAGGUAGAACACCAACAUCUUAAUCUAUAUUUCCUCGAACAUUGACUUCUCUUUCAAUUUUCAAUGUUAUGAACAAGAUCAUAUGACCCAAAAUAGUGAGUAGAACUAUUUGGCCUUGCAUUGCUUGAUAUUGCCCACCCCACUCCGAAACCCGGACAUACAUCUGUAUAGGCAUGAACAUAUAGUACCCUCUUCAAAGCAUGUGGUGCUCAUUCUCGUUCCUACGUGGAAUAAAAAAAAAUAUAGAGAAAAAAAUAUAUUUAAGUCAAUUCUUUAAUAAAGAAUUGUAUCACUAAUCUAUACUUAUAUACUAUUUACAAAGAGAAUGCAUAGUUUUAAGCUGAGAUUUUCGCUUCCAAUUAUAUACCCGUUAAUAAAUUUGACUAUAAGAAUGUUAUUUAGUUUGUCAUUGCAAAAGAUAAGAAUUUAUAUUAUAUUUGUCUUUGCAUAAGAUACUUCCUUAUUAAGUAAUUUAGAAUAUUAAAUGAUUCAUAGUCACAACAGUAAUACGUCAUAAAAUACCAAUUGCAAAGAAUGUAGAUAUGCAUGCAACAUUCAUAUAUUGGUCAAAAGUUGCCACUUACUUCCACAUAGAACAUAACCACGAAAAUUUACAAGGAAUUAGAGUAAAAAGGAGCCGCUAGCUAUAUAAGAAGGAACCGAAAAAAUCUCAAUCCCCACAUCACACAAAUCAGCAACCUAACUUAGUUCAUGGCAGAGGCAGAUUGGUCUCAACUUCCAAAGGAUCUUCUCAAUCUGAUAUCACAACAACUCGACAGUGAAGUCGAUCUCAUUCAUUUUCGAUCUGUUUAUUCCAAUUGGCACUCUUCUUCAACUCCAAAUCAUUGUAACGUUUUAUGAUGAUUUGGAAUAGAAGAAGAGUGUCAAUUGAAACGAACAGAUCGAAAACGAAUGAGAUCGAGUUCAUUGUCGAGUCGUUGUGAUAUCAGAUUGAGAAGAUCCUUUGGAAGCUGAGACCAAUCUGCCUCUGCCACGAAUUGAGUUAGGUUGCUGAUUUGUGUAAUGUGGGGAUUGAGCUUUUUUUUGGUUCCUUCUUAUAUAGAUAAACAGCGGCUCCUUUUUACUCGAAUUCCUAGGAAAUUUUUGUGGUUUUGUUCUACAUGGAAGCAAGUGGCACAUUUUGACCAAUAUAUGAAUGCCACAUAUCAACAGUUUUUGCAACUGGUCUUUUACGAUGUAUUAAUGUUGUGACUAUGAAUCAUAUAUUCUAAAUUACUUAAUAAGGAAGUAUCUUUUGCAAUGAAAAAUAUAAUAUAAAUUCUUAUCUUUUGCAAUGACAUAAACUAAAUAACAUUCUUAUAGUCAAAUUUAUUAACGGGUAUAUAAUUUGUCAGCUUAAAACUAUGCAUUCUCUUUAUGAAAGAAUUGACUUAAAUAUAUUUUUUCUCCAUAUUGUAUUUUCCACUUAGGCUUCAAUCUGUCGCUUUGACUAGUAAAGAUAAGUGUCAGUUUAUUGAUCAUACUUUUUAAGAAUUUCACAAUUCUACCAUAUGUCUCAAAGCAUUGACGAUGUUGGUCAUGUUCUACCUGGAUUUCCUCCCAUUCUAGCUUGUUAACCUUUAUUUUGAAAAUUUAUUGACGAUGUUCAUGCUGAAAAUUCUGCUCAUAAUUGUAUGAUAGCCAAUGAAAAUAUUCAUGCUUCUUCCAAGUCUAUGAGGAUUGUAAGCAUGUUUUAUAAGCAUUUAAUCGUCCAUUGUUCUUCAUCAUAUUUAGCAGAGUUUGAGCAAUCAAUACAGUUUGAAGGAAGAUUUUGAAGAUGCAAAUGGAAGCAACGAUUUCAGGAUGUGUCUAGUGACAGAUUGAAGCUAAUCUGAGAAUCAAGGUGAAAGCAAACACUUUUAUAUAUAAAAGGGAUGAAGAAGCCAAUAAUGAAAUUGUUGUGGUUUGGUUAAAAGAUCAAUGCAGGUAAUGUUUUGGUUAAACACUUUUCUGAAAAUGGUAAUAGUUAGCAAAAUGAAUUUUUAAGUGAAUCAGUGCUUUAAAUUUGUUAAAAUUCUUUAAAAUUGUGAAAUUGCACUUUUAUAUGAUUAGUGAUGAAUCAUAUCUCUAUUAUUAUAAGCUUGAAUUGGAUUCGUUGUUUAUGUUAAUUUAGAUACGUACUUCCUUAUAUUUUAUCUUCGUUGUUUAUUAUAAGCUUGAUUCCUAGUAUUUGUUGGUCAAUGUUUUAUCUUAGGUGAGUGACACGCUUAAAGUAUAAAAUCAUGUAAUUGCAUCAGGUAAAUAGGUAAAGAUUAUAUUAGUUGCAUGUUAACAUUAGCAUGAAAAUUGUGAUAUUAUUUUAGCAGAGUAUGCUUUUCUUUUCAAGGUUUAUAAAUUCAUUUAUAUUUGUCCUUUAUGGCUGCGUUUGUUUCAGAUUCAUUUAUACUACUGCACGCCAUAUUUGACAAUUUGGAAUUAGAAUAAUAAAUUUUGAUAUAUGACAUCGAAAAAAUGGAGGGCUCUUACUAUUAUAUAUCAAUUAUAAAUUCACUACUAAAAAAACAAAAUUGGCGAGGGAAAUUUACAAAUGGAACACAUGAAAUCAUUCUCUAACUUUCUCAUUAAAGUUUGCGAUCAAAAAAUUUAUGAGAAAUUUUAUUUUUUCCCUCACUAAUUUCCCUCCCUGAUUUUGUUUUUCCUAAUAGUUCAAUAUGUGAAACUUUGAUUGUUACGUCUUCUUUUGUUUUUCCCUUCAGUUUUUAUUAAAAAAAGUUUAUUUUGUCUUUUCUUUCAUAUUUGGUACUUAGGAAAUGGUAAGGAAGGUUCACUUGCAAUGAUCUUUCAAUUAUUUGCUCCAAGACUCAAUUUUUUAAUUAUUUAUUCCUGAAAUUAAAUAACUUGCAAUUGAAGUAAAAUAGUUAUAAAAAGGAAAUAAUAUUAAAUAAAACGGAAUCAAAUCUAAAUAAAACGGACUCAAAUAUUACAUUAAAAACACUAAUUAUUGACUCAUCAAUUGUCUACUAGAUUCAGGUUGAUAAGGGCCAUAUGAGGGUCCAACUGGUACAUGAAUUUCUUAAAUGCAACUCUAGGCUUUCGACUAAUGUUGAUUUGAGAACAUUAAAUUUUACCACAGUGGCAAAAAAAAUGUCAAAACUUUAACAAUGCUGUGUGAGCAAUUUGCUCAUUGGAAUUGUCCUUGGCAAUGAAAUGUUUCCAGCAAACACGGUUUCUAGUGACUCACUGGCACGCCGGUAAAAAAAAUCAGUACAGACUACACAUAUAUAAUAAUUUAAGCAGAAAAUUUUGUUUUGUUUUAGAAAUAUAUAAACUAAAGCACACCAUUAUUUUGACAAUUCGGAAUUAGAAUAAUAAAUUUGUUGUCUUUAUUAACCACUUCACCAACCAAAUUUCUAUUAUAUUUUCUGGGUUGUCCAAUUCUGAUGCUGUCCUUUAUAUUUUCUUUUCAUGUGAUUCCAAAAAUAAUUUUUAUAUUUUUUUCUGUUAAAAAAUUGUUUUAAGUAUAUGAAGAAUUUAAUUCACGAAUUUAAAGAAUAUGCACAAAAAACCACCUCACCCACAUUUUUUUAAAUGAUUUUUAAGUUAAAUAAUGAUAUAUGACAUAGAAAAAAUGGAGGUCUCUUACCACUAUAUAUCUACUCUUAAGUUGAAUAUGUGAAACUUUGAAGUUGUUACACGUCUUCUUUUGUUUUUCACUUGAAUUUUUAUUAAAGAAAGUUUAUUUUGUCUUUUCUUUCCUAUUUGGUACUAUAAUUAUAUACAUCAAUAUAAACAUACUUAUUAACAUAAAUGAGAUUAUAGAAUAAACAAAUAAGGAAUUCCCGUGAACUUAACUCAGUUGGUAGGGAUAUUGCAUAUUAUAUGCAGAGGCCGGGGUUCGAACCCGGACACUCCACUUCUCCAUAAUUAAAUUGUGUGAGCUCUAACCACUAGGCUACUUGACCAAAAAAAAAAAAAAGAAUAAACAAAUAAGGAUAUCUAAUUCAUAAAUAAUCAUUCUACUAUCUCAUAUUUAUUCUGUUUCAAAUAUACCAUUCAUAUGACAUGAUAGUUAUGCUUGCACAAUUGGCAAGUAAUCAUAAAAAUGGUCUAAUUAUUCAUGUUAUCUCGAUAAUCUAACAUAAUCAUAAUUGAUCCCCAAAUGUGGGUUCUAAGCUAAUUAAAGUAACUCUCCUUGGCAUUAGUCCCGAAAUUGCAAGCAGCUUAUCCACAAUUUGCAGCUUUUGCUAGCUCCAAAACUCCAUAAUCCAUUUUCCAAAAUAGCUUAUGUCUUGGCUUAUAGGUCUUGCUCUUUCCGAAACAACUCAACUCAUUUGCGACAUAGUCUUACUUCAUCAACCAGCAUAUACAAAAAAAUUCAUUCCAGUCCCUGAACCCGAAGUUCGUCGUUUGGCUAUUUAAGCACUUACAAAACAGCUUAAUUACCAUUUAAUCCCCUUUACCAUGAUUAGACCAGCUUAUUCUUUUUCCAUUGCUCAUAUACCAAUUCAACAUAUCCCUCCUAAACUGUUCAUCACAAGAUAAUACCUGACACAACUUAAAUUCCAAUUUAAGCUAUUAUCCAAAGGGUUUAACUAGGAACUUAUGACUUUUUUCAUAUCAAAUUCGACCCAAACUUUAACACAGAUGUUCCAACAUGUAUAGUAAGCCCUAUGAUCCACUUAUACAGCAUUUUAAAUUCACAACUUAGUCAUUUAAGGCAUUUUGCUCAAUAGUUAACAAUACAUAUAGAUAUAAAAUCUAUUAAUUUUUAAAAAAAAAGGUUAAAAUGUAAUGUUGUCAAUAAAAUAUAGCAUAUUUGAGAAAUAUGCUAUAACCAUGGCUCUCUUUUUUUCUUCUACUAAAUCAGUUGCUACAAUCAGUAAUGAUUUUGAUUUAAAUAUUAAAAUACAAACUCUAAUCAUCAACAGGGCCGUUCCUAUAGAAUAGAGGCUCGGCUCUAACAUUAAAAAUAAACCUCUUAUAAAAUAAAAACACAAUUUUUUAAAAGAGUAGCCUCUAUUCAUACUUAAAAUAAGAUAUUAAAAAAAAUUAAAAUUAAUUAAAGUAGCUAAAAGUAGAUCCUAAAAAUAUUAAAUUAAUAAAAGAAGCAAAAUAGAGGUUGAACCAUGGAAUCAGUGCUUUAAAAUUGUUAAAUUUUGAAAUUGCACUUUUAUAUGAUGAGUGAUGACCUUACCUUUCUUAUUUGUUAAAUUUCAAAUGUUGUACUUUAAUGAAAUUAUAAAUUUAAUAGUAAGUGAUGACCUUACCUUUCGGAAAUGUUAGGAGAGAUGGAAAAUAUAUCAUCAGUUUUUCUGGUGGGAACUUCCAUAGAAGAGUUGUCAUUUUCAUCUUUGAGUCGUUCAUAUAGUUUCGUAAAUAUCGGAGCUUGUUUACUAACUUAAUUCCUUGGUAAUUUGUGCUAUGUCCAUAGUAAAAGAAUUAUGCUCUCCUUUAUUUUGAUUAUGUAGCUACUAUUUAAUAUAAUAUCUUUAAAUGUUUGAAAGCCUUAAAUUUUAAUUUUGUAUGCUUUUAAAGAGUGUUUGAUGUUAGGUAUUUAGCAAACGUUCGAUAAUUUGGCUUGUAGAAUUGAUGGCUAAAAACCAAUUUUGGUAUGUUUUCAAUAAAAUCUUGUAGAUUUCUAUAAAGGUUUUUAAUGAGGUGUUUCCUUCCAUGUUCCAUAAUUGAAAAUCAUGUUAAGGCAUUGAAAAGUGACAACAAGUCAUCAAGACAUAACCCUACAAACAUUUUGUCCUGAUAUUCGUUAGGAAAUUCAUGUUUUGUAUUGUUACUCACUAGAAUCAAUAUGAAGUCAAUUAUUGUUUUUAUAAUCACGAUUUGAGUUUGAAUAAUUCAAUCAUUCAAUCUGUGUUUAUUAAGGAAAGUUAUGGUGCUCCUAGUGGGCAAAGAUGGAGUAAAUGUUGCAAAGAGCAUUGAAUUCAACAUUGGAGGCAGUCUUGCAUAGAUUGUUGAAUAUUAGCAAUGAUGUGACUGGUGCUGGUAUGUUUAAUAAUCUGUACCAUUUGCUACUUUGAUAUUUAUGUUAGACUAGAUUCAUGAUUCUUGAUAUUUUCAAAAAUUAUUUUUACUUUUUUUUUUUUGUCUUCUAGAAUUUUUGACGUAAGAGAAUAAUUAAGCCGAAGAAUUUAAUAGAUAUGCAUUUAUAUUUUGAUUUAUAAGGUAAGACACAUUAUUAUAUGGGAAAUGCUAACUGGUGCCUCUGGGAUACGGGUUAAGGAUAUGAAAAAGGAAUUAUAUAGUAAUUAAUGUAUUGAAAUUGUGUAAUUAAUUUAUAAUAAAGUCAAAAACAAUUUUCUUUUAUGGUAAUAAUUCCCUUUUAUGGUAUCCUUAAACAGUGACCCGAAGGCACAGGUUAGUAGGACCCUUAUUAUAUUUAGACUUAAUACAUGCUUUGGUCCCUUAACUUAUUUUCGAAUUUCAUUUUGGUCCCCUAACUAUAAAGUGUCUCAAUUUGGUCCCUUAUGUCUUUUGUCGUUAUAUCUUUUGGUCCCAUCCGUUGCAUUUUAAUUGUUUGAUCUAUUUAAAAAUAGAAACGUUGGAUCAUGUAGGUUUAUUGUAGCCAACGGUGAAUGAUUAACACCUGAUUUUUUUUAAGCAAAAAAUAUAUAAAAAAAAAUCAUAUUUUUUAUAAAAUCAUUUUCAAAAUUGAAAAAAUUUAUUUUUUUUAUGAAAUUUUUAAAAAAAGGUCAGAUUUUUUUUUUUCGAAAAAAAAAGGUUUUUUACUACAAAAUACCUGAAAAUAUUUUAAUUUUAAAAAAUCUGGAAAAAAAAUUUACAAUUUUUUUAAUUUUUGAAAUAUAUAAAAACUUCUGGAAAAGAUUUAAAAAAAUUCAUAUUUUUUCUACAAAAUUCUGUAUAAUAUAAAAAAAAUUCAGAUUUUUAUAAAAUAUGAAGAAAAAAAAUUAUUCCUGACCUAUUUUUUUUAUAUUUCGUAAAAAAAUUAUUUUUUUUCAAAUUUUGAAAAAUAUAUAAAAAAAAUCAGGUUUUUAUAAAAUAUGAAAAAAAAAAAUUAUUCCUGAAUUUUGAAAAAGAUUUAAAAAGUAAUUAUAAUAUUUUCCAGAUUUUUAAAAAUUAAAAUAUUUUCCAGAAUUUGGUAGGAAAAAAUUUAAAAAAAAAAAAAAUUUCGAAAAAAAAAUCUGACCUUUUUUAAAAUUUUCGUAAAAAAAUUAAUUUUUUUUUAUUUUGAAAAUGAUUUUAUAAAUAUUCUGAAAAAAAAUCUAGAAUAUUUUUUUCUUCAUAUUUUAUAAAAAAUAUGAUUUUUUUAAUAUAUUUUUGGCUUCCAAAAAAUCAGGUGUUAAUCAUUCACCGUAGGCUACAAUAAACCUACAUGAUCCAACGGUUUCUAUUUGAUAAAUAGAUCAAACAGUUAAAAUGUAACGGAUGGGACCAAAAGAGGUAACGGCAAAAGACAUUAGGGAUCAAAUUGAGACACUUUAUAGUUAGGGGACCAAAAUGAAAUCCGAAAAUAAGUUAACGGAUCAAAGGCAUGUAUUAAGUUUUAUAUUUAUUAUACGAAUUUGUGUGUUAAAAUAAUACAGCUUAUUUAAAUCUUUAGUUGAAUUGUGAAACGUUGAAGUUGAUAAGAUAUGAAAUGUGACAGAAGUUUCACUCCCAAUGGUCUUUGGUCAAUGGAUCCUCUCUUAAGUGCAACCGAGUUGCCUUUUUUAGUUUGAAGCCCUAUAUAUCCACAUUCUUAAUUCUCAUACACUUAUUACUUCCUUUCUAUUCUCUAUUCUCAUAUGGCUAUGCUUCAAUCAUCCGUCUCUCCCCCUUCUUCCUUCUCUUAUGGAUUCACCUAUGACGUGUUCCUUAGUUUUAGAGGUAUUGACACUCGUUAUGGUUUUACUGGAAAUCUCUACAGUGAUCUUUGUAAGAAGGGAAUUCACACAUUCUUUGAUGAUAGAGAGCUUCAAGGAGGUGAUGAAAUAACAUCAUCACUUUUCAAGGUCAUUGAAGAAUCUAGGAUUUUCAUUCCUGUCUUGUCUAUCAAUUAUGCUUCUUCUUCAUUUUGCUUGGACGAACUUGUCCACAUCAUUCAUUGCUUCAAGGAAAAUCGGCGCCUUGUUUUGCCAAUUUUCUAUGAUGUGGAACCUUCUCAUGUGCGACAUCACAAGGGCAGUUAUGGUAAAGCACUGGAUGAUCAUAUAGAGAGGUUCCAAAAUAACAAGCAUAGCAUGGAUAGGUUGCAGAAAUGGAAGAUGGCUCUUACUCAAACUGCUAACUUCUCUGGCCACCAAAUCAAUCCUAGGUACCGUAGUUCACUCAUGUUUUACAUUCUUACAUAUGUCAUACUUCUUUAAUAUUCUAUUUUCUAACUAUUUCAUCUCACUAUUUAAAUUGAAAAUAUUAUUUUUAUUCUUAACAAGUUUAAUUACUUGUAUGUCAAAACAAUAUUUGAAUUGUAUUUAUACAACUAUUAUUAAUAAAUUGAUAUGAUUGUGAAUUUGUGAUGCAUUUACUCAAAUUAUUUGAUUGGGUAGGAAUGGCUAUGAAUGCGAGUUUAUCGAGAAGAUAGUCAAAUAUAUAUCUAACAAGAUCAAUCAUGUUCCUUUACAUGUUGCCGAUUACCCUGUUGGUGUUGAAUCUAGGGUCCUAAAAGUAAAUUCACUUAUGGAUGUUGGAUCUAAUGGUGAAGCACAGAUGAUAGGGAUCUACGGGAAUCGUGGAAUGGGAAAGACAACACUUGCAAGGGCAGUUUAUAAUUUUAUAGCCGAUCAAUUUGAUGGUUUGUGUUUUCUUCACGAUGUAAGGGAAAAUUCAGCUAAAUAUGGUUUAGAGCAUCUAUAGGUAAAGAUCCUUUCCAAAUUAGUUGAAUUGGAAGUUAAGUUAGGAGAUGUCAACGAGGGAAUUCCAGUCUUAAAGCAAAGGCUUCACCGAAAGAAAGUUCUAUUGAUUCUCGAUGAUGUUCACAAACUAAAGCAAUUGCGGGUUUUGGCUGGAGGACUUGAUUGGUUUGGUCCUGGAAGUAAAGUGAUCAUUACCACUCGAAACAAACAAUUGCUAGCAAGUCAUGGGAUUGAAAGAGCAUAUGAAAUAGAUAAGUUAAAUGAGAACGAAGCUCUUGAAUUGAUGAGGUGGAACGCUUUCAAAUAUAACAUGGUCGAUUCAAAUUUCGACCGUGUUUUGCGGUGUGCAGUAACUUUUUCUUUUGGCAUUCCAUUGGUUUUAGAAGUAGUGGGUUCAAACUUGUUUGGGAAGAAUAUUGAAGAAUGGAAAUCUGCAUUAAAUCAGGAAGAAAGGAUUCCCAUUAAAAAUAUCAUAGAGAUACUUAAAAUAAGCUUUGAUACUUUGGAUGAUGUUUUGGAUGAUGCUUUGGAUGAUGCUUUGGAUUAUUUUGAUGAUGAUGAUGAGGAUGAAAGGAUUCCCAUUAAAAAUAUCACAGAGAUACUUAAAAUAAGCUUUGAUGCUUUGGAUGAUGCUUUGGAUGAUGGUUUGGAUGCUUUGGAUGAUGCUUUGGAUGAUGGUUUGGAUGCUUUGGAAGACAAAUGUCUUAUUAUGUGAAUGAUGAAUUCAAUGACCACAUGUCAACAGAGAUAAUGUAAAUAUGUAAUUUUAAUUAGGGUUAAUAGUGUUUUUCACCCCUGUAAUAUAUGCCAUUUUCGGUUUUCGUCCGUAUAAAAUUUUCGGUUUGAUUUGCACCCUCGUAAAAAAUAAAAAUACCGGAAAACACCCUUAAUAGGCCAUUCAAAAACCAAAAUUUCUUAAAAAAAAAUCUGAAAAUGGCCUAUUAGAGGUGUUUUCUGUAAAAAUAAUAAUUAUACGAGGGUGCAAAUCAAAUCGAAAAUAGUUCAGCAACAAAGAUCUACUUUGGAACAACUCGAACGUAUAAGUUCUUCGGUGACUUUUCGAGAUCAAAGAUGAGCUUAUCACCUUCUUCCAUCACACGUUCUCUGCAGAAAUUGAACUAUUGUCCACCCAAGUAUUUUUCAUAGCUUUCUCUUUCGGUGGUAAUGAGUAUAUUACAUGAACUCGAUCACCCUAAAUUCGAGAAAGAAACCAAAAAAUAUAAAUAAAUCAAAAUGUACACUAAUAAGUAACAUUGAUAAAUCAUAAAGGAAAUUACAACAAAUCUUAACUAACUCAUCUAACCUUUGCAUCACAAAUAAUGAGCUUCAUAUGUUGAUUCACAUUACUACCCGUCACAACCCAAAAAUCCAGCACUCCAAAUCCUAUUUUCCAAAUCUCCAAAUCAUUUUUGAGAUCCUUAAUGUAGUCAUAAUCCCUUGACAUUGAAAGUCCUAUAUAGAAAUACAAUAAUACAUCAUUUCAUUUUAUUUCCUUUGUUCAUUCUGAUAUUGAAAGAAACUAACAUAUUUCUAUGUGAUCAAUUUUAUAUCAUUAAAUCAACCUGAUCUUAAAUGCACAAAUUUUGGUAUCAUUAACUUUCUGGAUCUCACUGAUAUGACCAAAACAAAUUUUAUAACAAUCAACUUUCGUACGGCUCAAUGAUAUAGGAAAGAAUAAACCAAAUAUAAAAAAUGUUACAACUUUAGGAUUACUCACAAAAACUAAAAUAACCCACAUGCGUCAAAACCUUACCAUAACAAAGGAAGAUUUUUCUAGAGCCAUGCAACAUAAUAAUUUCUUGUACAUAAUUCACUAACAAUUGAAAGAAAAAAAAACCUUAAAAAACUAAAACAGUGUCGAAAAAUGAACCCCUCAAGCCAUAAAAAUCAGUCAAUUCAAGUCAUGCAUGGUCUCAGAACCAUGAAAAAAGGAAGAAAAUGAUCUCUUAUGAAGAAGAAAGUGAAACAGUGUGAUGACAGUCCGUCAUUCGCUAUUUUGAGAGUCUUUUUAUAUGUAUUUUGAUCACAAAGUGGAGUUCACAAGGCAACUUAUGCUGCAAAAGAGUAGAAAACUGAAGAAAAUACAAAGAAGAGAAUCGUGUCACGAUUUGGUAAAAACGUGACACGAUUUUAGAAGACCAAAAUCAAGCUUCGACAUUGAAGAAAUCGUGUCACGAUGGCAUAAUCGUGUCACGAUCUGAGGAAACCCUAAUUCAGCGAUUUACGAUUCAAGGAGAAUCGUGCCACGAUUUACUUAAAUCGUGGCACGAUUUUAGGCGGAAUUCUGUGCCUAUUUAAGCUGAAGUCUAUUCCAAGGACAAGGGUUACGAUUUGGAGAGAGAAAAGUGCGAUUUUGAGACUACAAGACGGCGAGAAGGGCGAUUUCUUCACUCUUUUACCAGUUCAUGUAUGCAUUGAUUCCUCUAAUGAUUAUGUUAUUUGUAAACACCAUUAUGAGUAGCUAAAUCCAUUAGAGGUUAGGUCUGAGAUGAUUCUUUGUAACCCUAAUUGUAACAUGUUGCUGUGAAACUCUAUUAUUUGUGAAUGACAAUCUAGUUUUUAUUCAAUUCAAUUAUUCUUAAUGCUUUUUAUAUCCUGAUCAAAUAUAAAUAUGAUUUAGUGAGAACGAAUGACUACUGACCAUAGCUUUCGACUUAGACCUAAUUGAUUUGUUCUAAUAAACAUGGUUAGUCUAGGAAUGAAUAAUCCUUUAUUAGUGAUAUUAGGUUAACGUGCUUAAACCUUCAAAGGUUAUUAGACCACCUAAGGAAUUAGGGGCUGUAACCCUAGAAGAGGGUCCUAACUCAAGGGAUUGAUUAAGACUAUUUUGUUAACUAUCGUAAAACUAGUGACUCUUUCACAAGAAUAGGUGCAGUAUACCAAUUAGGGGUAACAUAAAUGAUUCGAAAGACCUAAACUCAUUCUCUAUCUUAUUCUUUAAACCAAUCUUUAUUUUCUGUUAUUGCUUAUGCAAACAAAUCAAUCAACUGUCUAGCGGCAAAUUAAAAGAACUUUUAUACAUCUUAAGUUACAACGUAAUUGAAUUAUUGAGAUUAAAAUCAGUCCUUGUGGAACGAUAUUUUUACUACUUCGAUAGUAUUUGGUACACUUGCCAAAAAUCUAUCACAGUGUUCCCAACUGAACUUAGAUACUGUUUGGCAAAGGUUUUUUACUGUCUAAAAAUUACUUCAAAACAAAGUUAAAAUAAAGGCCUUUAAGAAAGAAGCUAAAGUUGUUUGUUUUUUUAGUUUUAAAGUUACUUUUAAGUUAAAUGUUGUUUGGCAAAAUAUUGUGCAAACUUUGAAUUUUUUUUAUGGUGUCCGGGGUUCGAACCCCGGACUUGACAUAUAUUUAUGAAUUGUUCCUAUCAUCUGAGCUAAACUUACGAGCACAAAACUUUGAAUUUAUUAUUAAUUAAAAUAAUAAAUAAAAAAUGUUUAAAAUAUUUUCCGAAGGCUAAAAAUGUUAAAAAAUAAAAGAUAUUUUUUCACAAAGACUAUAUUUACGCAAUAACGUUUAUUUUUGUGUAACAUGAAUACAAAUCUGUAUCAUCAUAUAAAUGACUUGUUAAUUUUUAUUUUUUUUUGUGGUGGCCGGAGUGUGAACCCCGGACCUUGCAUAUAUUAUGCAUUGUCCCUAUCAACUGAGCCAAGCUCACUAGGACACUUGUUAAAUAUUUUAAUAGGAUAAAUAAUUUAAGGAGUCUGAAAUAAUAACAUAAAUAAUAUCAAAAUAGUUGGUUUUUUCUAUUUCAAUUAUACUCUAUAACUAAUUUAAUUUCGUUAUAAGAAUACCAUAUUUUUGGUGUCUUUCAAAAAGAUAAGAAUUUAUAUUAUAUGAUAUUAUAUUUGUUACAUUGUUGGUGUUAUGGAAACAUAUAUGUUUGUUUUUUUGAAUAAGAAAAAGAUAUGCAUAGUUGUUAAUUACAAUAUAAAGGUGCAAUAUAUAUAUAUAUAUAUAUAUAUAUAUAUAUAUAUAUAUAUAUAUAUAUAUAUAAGUAUUUUUUUUCGGCAUUUAGACCUUUUUUGAAGAAAAGACAUCUACAAUUUUACUUUUAAUUAAAAUCAAAAUGUUAUAAAAAUAAUCAUACGCAUUAUGCAACACAAAAAAAAAUUAUACGCAUUAGGGUAACAAAAAAACAGUCACACAUAAAGUAUUACUCUAAACACUAAUGUGUGUGUAUAUUUGCGAGGUUGAAAAAAGAAAAUAAAAACAUUUGGUAUCAUUAAAUGACAGCGUGAAUAAAAGUAUUUGUGAGGUUGUGAUGAUAAAAUUAUAUUGAAAUUAAAUAUAUCAGUGAUAAAAAGAUAAUAAUAUUAAAUUGAACCUUCUUAAAAAAAAUUAAAUGGAACGAUUCCAAAAAAAAAUAAAAAUGGAAGAAACAAACAUAUUGUAAUAUAAUAUUAAAAAUAAGAGAAAGGGUUUCCAACGUGAAUUGAAGAGAGAUGCUUGUGAAAUAAAUUGUCGAGAAGUAGUUUUUGAAGUAGCAUUCAACAACUUUUGGCCAAAGUUCAAUCCAUUCAAUUGUAUGCAUUAAGAAAAGUACCUUUUUAGUAAGUUGGCCUAACUUCUCCUUAAAAAUGUAGAGAAUUUGAAGAAAAAAAACCGGGUCAAAUGGUAUCUUAAUCUCGGAAGAAAAAAUUGGAAAAGACUUAAAAAAAAAAUGAAAAAUAGUUAAAAAAUUUUAAAAAUAUAAAAAUUGGAUAAUAGUUAAAAAAAAUUAUAUGCAUUAGCGUAACAAAAAAACAGACAGACGGACAUCAAAUAUUACACUAAAUGUUAAUGUGUGUAUGUAUAUUUGUGAGGUUGAAGAAAGGAAAUAAAAAUAUUUAGUAUCAUUAAAUGACAGCGUGAAUAAAAAUAUUUGUAAGAUUGUGAUAAUUAAGCGAUAUUGAAAUUAAAUAUAUAAGUGAUAAAAAGACAAUAAAAUUUCUUUGAAAAAAGAUAAUAAAAUUAAAUGGAACCUCUUUAAAAAAUUAAAUGGAACGGUUUAAAAAAAUAAAAUAAAAUAAAGUUAAAUGGAAGGAAAAAAACAUAUUGAAAUAUAAUAUUAAAAAAUAAAAGAAAAUGUUCCAAGUUGAAAAGAGGUGCUUAUGAAAUAAAUUGUCGAGAAGUAAUUUUUUAAAGUAACAUUCAAUAACUUUUGGCCAAAGCUCAUUCCAUUCAAUUUUAUGCGUUCAAAAAAAUUACUUUUUUUAGUAAGUACUUAAUUCAUACUGUGUUUGGCCUAACUUAUCCUUAAAAAUGUAGAGAAGUUGGAAAAAACCGAGUCAAACGAUACCUUAAUCUCCCACAACGACAAUGUAGAAGCAACUGAAUUUGGGAGAAAAAAUUGAAAAAUAGUUAAAAGUUAUUAAAAAUAUAAAAAUUAUAAAAUAAUUAAAAAAAUUGGUGAGGGGCAAAAUGGUAAAAUGCACCCAUAAAAAGGUGAGGUCCCACCAAAUAGGAAAUUACAAAAAUGCCCAUCUUAGGGGCAAAAUGGUAAAAUUACAGGGAAUUAUCUUUUAUAUAUAAUAAUUAGGUAGAUUUUCUGUUAUUGUCCAUUAAUUUAUGUUGUUGUUCAUUUCUGAUGUUGUCUUUUAUAUUUUCUUUUCAUAAGAUCCAAAAAGAAUUAUUACAUUUCUUUUCUCUUAAGAAAAUGUUAAGUUGAUGAAGAAUUUAAUUAAAGAAUAUGCACAAAAAUCCACCUCACCCCCAUUUUUUAAAAUGUUUUUUUUAAGUUAACUAAUGUUUUUUUUAUUAGGGAAAAGUUAACUAAUGAUAUAUGACAUCGAAAAAAUGGAGGUCUCUUACUAUUAUAUAUCAACUCUAAAUUCACUAAUAAAACAACAAUUUUUAUUAACCACUUCCCCAACCAAUUUUCUAUUAUAUUUUCUGUUAUUCUCCAUUAGUUUAUGUUGUUUUCCAUUUCUGAUGCUGUCUUUUAUAUUUUCUUUUCACAAGAUCCAAAAAGAAUUUUUACAUUUCUUUUCUCUUAAGAAAAUGUUAAGUUGAUGAAGAAUUUAAUUAAAGAAUAUGCACAAAAAUCCACCUCACCCCCAUUUUUUAAAAUGUUUUUUUUUUAGGGAAAAGUUAACUAAUGAUAUAUGAUAUCGAAAAAAUGGAGGGCUCUUACUAUUAUAUAUCAACUCUAAAUUCGAAAAUAAAAAAACAAAAUUGGCGAGGGAAAUUUACAAAGGGAACAUAUGAAAUUUCUCUCUAACUUUCUCACUAAAGUUUACGACCAAUAAAUUUGUGAGAAAUUUUAUUUUUUCCCUCAUUAAUUUCGCUCCUUGAUUUUGCUUUUCCUAAUAGUUCAAUCUGUGAAACUUUGAUUGUUACACGUCUUCUUUUGUUUUUCACUUCAGUUUUUUUAUUAAAGAAAGUUUAUUUUGUCUUUUCUUUCAUAUUUGGUACUUAGGAAAUGGUAAGGAAGGUUCACUUACAAUGAUCUUUGAUCAAUAAGUCCUUUUAAGUGCAACCCUGUUGCCAUUUUUUCACUUCUUAAUUUAUUGAGACCCUAUAUAUACACUCAUCUACGUUUUAACCUCUCAUACUCUUCUUACUUCCUUUUUGUUCUCUACUCUCAUGGCUCUGCUUCAAUCAUCCGUCCCCCCCUCUUCUUCUUUCUCCUAUGGAUUCACCUAUGACGUGUUCCUUAGUUUUAGAGGUAGUGACACUCGCUAUGGUUUUACCGAAAAUCUCUAUAGAGCUCUUUGUCACAAGGGAAUCCACACCUUCAUUGAUGACAGGGAGCUUCAAGGAGGAGAUGAAAUAACACCAUCACUUUUCAAGGCCAUUGAAGAGUCUAGGAUUUUCAUUCCUGUCUUGUCUAUCAAUUAUGCUUCUUCUUCAUUUUGCUUGGACGAACUUGUCCACAUCAUUUAUGCUUCGAGGAAAAUAGACGCCUAGUUUUGCCAAUUUUCUAUGAUGUGGAACCUUCUCACGUGCGACAUCACAAGGGCAGUUAUGGUAAAGCACUGGAUGAUCAUAUAAAGAAGUUCCAAAAUAACAAGGAUAACAUGGAGAGGUUGCAGAAAUGGAAGAUGGCUCUUACUCAAACAUCUAACUUUUCU